CCAGGAAAUAUCUGUCCGAACUGAUAUGGAAACGAACGAAUAUCCAAAUUCGAUCAUCCAUUCCUGUAUUGCACUCAAAUAUACUGGUAUUCCCCCAACAUUCUCUGCCACAGAUGAAGACUGAUCAAAAUUAGCAUCAACACAUAAUCCACUUGAAUCACCAGUUGUCAUAAUCCCGGACCCAAAGAUGGUAAUAUCAUUAUCAUCACAUGGUUUAUGGCUUAGCAAAUUUAUUUCCGUGGUGUGUACCACAUUGGCCACUUCCUUUUUUAUGUUGCAUAUUUGUUGAUUCAAAGAAAUAGUACUUUUGUAUCCAUCAAACUUACUUUAUUAAUAUUCUUCAUCAUUUUGGUUAAUGGCUUAGCAAAUGUAGGAGAAGGAGUUAGCCAAAAUAAAUUACUUUCUCUUAUAUUAAUCUUUACUAAUCGCUGAAGGUAAAAAAAAAAAUUAAAACAAGUUAAAACAGUUCCAUCUCAAAAUCAGUAGGGUGUAACUUAGGGAUGUAAAAAACAUCCAUCUAAACUAGAUUCGGACUGGAUCCGACCUAGUCCAGGGAUGAGUCGAUCUAAUCUCGGGCAUCACCUGAGAAGUCUGUGGUCUGGCCAAAAACCUGAAUUUUAUUAAAAAAAAUUAUAAAAUAUAUAUGUUAUAGUAAAUAAUUAUAUCUAUUUAGCUCAUCUAUUACAUUUAUUUAAAAUUUUAAAUAUUUAUAUUUUCAUGCCCAAUUACAAAAUUAUGGAAUAAAUUAAAAAAAUACAUACAUGACAUUAUAAAAUAUAGCAUCCAAGCUUUUUAAGCCCAAACAAAAACCCCGGCCAUUGUGUUCAAAACAUAUGUCCAAAUUAGAUCCAGGCAUUGCCAUAUUGGAGCCCGACCUUGGUUUUGCCAUUACUUUGGAUUAUUAUAAGUAUUUCUAAAUUUCAAUCUAAUUUAAUCAUGUGAUGCACAAAUUACCUUUAUCACUUCUUUCAUUUAGAUACUAAUAAAUUUCACCGAAAUGAUCACCAAAAAACAAAAAAGAGAAAAAUCAUAUAGUUAACUUUUCUUCUUCUUUACUCCAUUAUUCAAUGGGAAUAUAAUAAACUAGGAGAAAGGAGAAAUUAAGGAGAAAAUUAGAUUGAUUGUUGCAAUGAUAAAAACUCAUGCAAGUGCUUAUUCAAAUAUAUGUGUGGCAUUCAUUAAUUUGAUCGAAAAUAUAUGAAUUUAUUUGUAUUUUAAUCAAAAUCGAGGGAUAUAAACAAAAUUUUCCCUAAAUUGCAUAAAAUUAAGAAACCAGUAGUCACUGAAAGAGAAACAGAGUAAGAAGAGUUCGAACUUCAAAAGAUGGAACCCGAAGAAGAAACGCUAGCAACAAUCCCUGAAGAAAAGGAAGAUGAUGAUGAAGGCACGGCCAUGCCCGACGUUAAGAACAACUGUAAAAUAAAAACAAAGGGCAGCUCUUCGGACUCGAGCGAUGCCUCUGACGCCGACUCGGAUUCUGACUCAGAAUUCGAAGCAAAACAGAACAUGGAGCUUCAAACCUGAAGAGUAUCAGCUAUCCAAUGAACCUUCCAAUUACGACAUCCAUGUCCACGUAACUUCAAUACGCAUAUUUAUUGAGUGAUUUUGAGGAUACCAUUUGCUUGUUCUUUCUUGGAUUGCGAAAAAAAUGGUUUUUUUUUUUUCAAUACAUAAAGGUUUUAAGAAAAAUGGGUGAGAUAGAGAAGUUAAGACAAGCUAGGGAAGCCAUGAAUGAGAUUUUUCCAUUGACUCCUGCCAUGUGGCAAGAAUAGGCGAGAGAUGAAGCCGCUAUUUCAACUAGGUAUGUGUCAUUUCCUUUCUGCAGUGGUUUUUUAUUUUGUGAACAAAUAUUUUUUUGGAUAGAGAUAUAGAUGUUUAUGUUAGUUGUUUGCUAUCGUAAAAAGGAAGAAAACCUGCUCAAAACGUAUUAAGGAAAGAAAAAAAGGAACCAAUUUGAAGAAGGAGAUAUUUAUAGUGGGAGUUCUAUUCUUUGGGGUUUAAUUGAUGGGAGGAAGAAAUAGCUUAUACGUUUACAGAAUUAGAUAACACAAAUGUGACUCAUUUGUGUUAGGUAUAUAUUUAACAAGCUGAUAACAUAAUUAACAUAAUGCGAUUAUUACAUUAAAUGAAAUAAAAAACCAGUACCCACCACCGAUAGUUUAGCAAGCUUCCGUCCUCGUGUUUUAGGAACUGGACAUCGGACAUCGGUGAAUUAACCAAAGGAUCAUGAAAGAAUCUCACAAAACAAAAUGGAAACUAUACUUUUUUUUUUUGUAAUUGUACAGGUAACUGGACUAAUUUUCAGAUAGUUUUCAAAUUACACUUAUUUACAAAAAAAGCAACAAAAUGAUUUCCUUUCCUUUUGAAACAUUUUGUGGAAUCAAGUAACAGUUAAAUGAUGGGAGAAUAGUUAAAUGAUGAAGACACAAGUUAAGCAGAUCCAAUAAACAGGGGAAAGUGAAUUACUGUCCUCAAGCACAUUCUCUAAUAAUCUCAAUUUUCUACGUACAUUUUUGUGAAUUCAUGUCACAUGCAACAGUCUUUUGGGAUUUGUUGCAUCAAUUCUUUGGUGAUUUAUCUUUUUUUAUUAUUUUAUGACGUAAGAGUCCUGGUAGCAAUACAUUUGGAAUAAAAUGAUUUAAUUUAUUUUUCGUUGUUAUUAAAAAAAAUGAUAUAUUAUUAAUUAAUCAACUCAUCGAGAUAUUGGUUUCAUUUGUAACAACUAGCUAAUUGCUUAGUACAUUGUUGUACUUCUCCUUAUCAAAUCAAGAAGAACUUGUAAAUAAGAACGUAGACGUGGUAUGCCAUGAUGUGAUAAAUUUAAUUCAAAUCUAAAUUAAGAGAUGAUUCAUAGAUAUAGGUACAUACUGAACAAAGAUAUUUAAACAUAUGCAUUCAAUUUUAUGAUAUACCUUACAAUAAUUGGUUUAUUGUCCAUAUCAAAGGGAGUGAAUAGAAAUAAUGUAGAAAGUAAAAAAGAUGAGCAAGCGCACAUGAUGAUUUAUAAAAUAAUAAAUUAAAUUUAUAUCAUUUUUAAUAAGUGUGAGAUUAUUUACACUUAAAAUUUAUUUUGAACAUUCUUAUUUUUUACUACAACAAAACCCUCAUUAAGACCAAUUCAAUAUAAAUAAAUAGAAUAAUAAUACUUUUGACACCAACCUAGCGCUUACACGCCCAUGUAAAAUUAUUAAACCUUAAAUUUAGAACGUUCUUCCUCAGCAUUAAAACUCGUGCAUUGUUUAAAAGUAUAUUUAACAAAUUUUCACAAAGAGACUCCAUGAUUCAAAUUUCUUUGACUUAAAUUUCAAUUUUUGUUGAAGAUAUAUCUAUUCCAUAUAAAGAUUUCAAUUUUCUGUACAAUCAUGAGCUGCGUAUAUAUAUAUACACACAUAAAACCGUUCUGCGAAUAUAUAGAAGCAAUUUCAACCUUCCAACUUUUUUUUUUUUUGAAUUUUAAUGAAUAUCAAUUUUAUAUGUUGGACAACUAUGAAAAAUAAAAUUAGCAAAAUGAUAUUAUUAACAAAUAGGGAGAGAAAAAGGUAAUUAUAUGUUGGUGUGCUAAAUAUUUUUAUGGGUGUACGGAAAAAAAUAAAGAUAAUAGAAGCAAUGUUAUCGAGGAGUAUUUUGGUAUUUAUGAAAGUGUUCAAAGUGAAAAAGUGAUUUCCUAAAAUCUAUUAACUAAUACACAUAAUAAAAGGGCAUUUUGAGAAAAUUUUAGAUUACAAACAGUCCCAUGCUGUAAUAUUCUUCAAUCAAUGUGUUUAUUUCAAAAUAGAAAAUCCAUCUAUUUAUUACUUUCUAACUAGUAAUAUUAAUGUGUUAAUAAUUGUGAAGAACCAAUGUAAUUUGUAUGAUGUAGAAAGCUCUUUAGACACAAUAACCCGAAUUUCUAACAAUAGCGGUUGGACGUGCUUGGGAACAGACUCAAUUCAGUUACUUUUUUUAUCGUGAUAUUUAAACAUAAUCAUCCGGAUUCGUGCGGAUCCCCACCUUUCACAUCCGGAUCUGCAUUUUUUAAUAUCUGGAUUUAGAUUUUUUUCUGGAUCCGGAAGAGGAUAUUUACUUGUCAUCCCUAGUACCCAGCAACAUCCAUCCAUGAGGAGUGAAACCCCAUUGAUUUCAUAAAUAAAAAAUAAAUAACUCGCAAAAACAAUCUUUGACAAUCACAAGAACAACAACAAUUCACUCCAAUAAACAACAUAACAAAUACAUGGUCUACAUUGAAAGUCUUUUUAUGAUUUUAAUCGAAAGAGAAAGUACGAAGGACAUAUUAUACAUAAUUGAAUGUUAUAGUUGAUAAUUAGGCAAAAUAAUACUAAUCUAGCUAACUAAUCCAAUCAUCAUAAUAAUCUGAUUUUCAUUAUUUAUUUGAUAUGUCCAAUCAUAUGCUAACUUAAUAAAGAACACUAAAUGCUUGAGUCUUUAUAUGUUUCAACAACUUUGGCUAAGUUUGAAAAGAACAUAUUAAUUAUGAAUAUUAAUACAAAACCCUGCAAGCUACAGAUUGCAUACAUAUGCAGUUGCAACAAAUACAUAUGUAAUAAAAAGAUCAAUAGUUUUUCAGCAGCUGAGAAAGCAAGCCAUUACUCGCAUACUACACCCACCCAAACACAAUUAAUAUGUUAUCAAACAAAUAGACACAAUAGAAAUAAAUCUAAUGUGAAAACUGAAAACAAAAACAGCCCCAUCACCAUCAAUAUAUAAUUUUGACGAACUGGACAUGGGUGGACCUAGCAUCAUUGAAUAAAUGAAAAACAAAACAAAACAAAAUUAAAAUCAGUAUCCACCAGAAAGAAUCAAUAUUUACGUGCUGCCUCCAAUUUGGUACAUGCAUAGAUAUGUACAUCUAUCUAACUUUAAAAAAAUUGUAGUAGAAAUUAGAGCUCACUUUUUUAGAUAUGGCUCAUAUACAAUGCACGUGUCAAGAUUUAAUUAGAGUUUACAUAUAUACAUGUGUCUAAUUCUAAUUGAUAGAUAAAAUAAUCAUAAAUACUCAGAUGUUUCUAAAUGAUUGAAUAAUGAUAUUGUAGUGACUUGAUUGCUUUGUUCUCUGAUUAGAAAUAAAUCACUGUCCAAGAACCUUUGUCAAGAUCUGUUCAAGUUGCAAUUAAAUCAACACCAAUAUGAGGCUUCAAUGCUGAUUCACACCUUAGCUCUAGGUUAAUGGAGAUUGAAAGCAGAGGACUAAAUUGAACUAGAAGCAAAACACACUCACACAAAGAACAAGAUUUAACGUGGUUUGAUUAUGCAUAAAUGCACAAUCUACAUCCACGGGAGAAGCCACAGAAAAAAAGUUUUUUUGAUGAUUCAAAAUGAAUUUUACAGAGCUAAUACAGAGGAGAUUACAAGGAACAAGAAGACUCUUUCUCUCUUUCUAAGAUCUCUCCGGAAAGCUCUCAAAAUCCUAUGCAAAUUUUUUUCAACAACCAGCCUCUUCAUACCCCUGAUAUUGAAACCCAAUUGCACAACUUUUACAUGAAUGACAAUGAAUGAAGUUAUGUUAAUUUACAUUAAGUAGAAACCUUCCUAAAUAGGAAUAGAAAUACUCUAUUAACAUAUCGAAUACUACCUUAAUAAAAAUUUAGUUGACAAAAAAAAAAAGCCUUGAAGGUUUGAAAUAAUUAACCCUAAUUAAAUAAUUGUCUUACAUAACCAAUUUUUUCCUUUCUUAAUUUACUAAGACAUCGCCACACUCCUGAUUUUAUAAUAUAAAGCAUAAAAUAUAAUAGACAAGUUUGAGUUUACUUUUUUGAUCAUUGAGCAUGCAAUUCUCUGAAAAAACUCAUUGUGUUUGUGUCUAUUGUAAAUUUAUGACAUUUACUAAUCUUUUGGGUUUUGUUGUAUCUAUUCUUUGGUACGUGUUCAUCAUGUUUUCAUUCUUUUCUAAUGCAAGAUUCUUGGUUACAUUAGGAAUCAGAGUGAAAUUCUAAUUUUAAAGUUUGGAGAAAUAAAAUGUAAUAUGAUUUUUUUUCAUGAAUAAAACGAUUUAAUUUACUUUUUUCUACUAGCAAAAAUUAUUACUUUAUUAAACCCAUCAAGCUAUUGGCUUCAUUUAUAAGCCGGUCAGUCAGUUUUUUAGUUUCAAUUGUUAUCUUUUAAAAGAUAAUAGAAAAAUCUUACUUUGAGUGUAUUUUAUCACUUCACUAAAAUUUUAUUAACCCAUCAAGCAAGUUAUUGGCUUUAGCUUUUCUUGUAUAUGUUGCAAUUUUCAAGUAUCACUCAAAAUUUUAGACCGUCAACACCUGCAGGAAAAUUGCAUAUAUUCUAUCAUUCAACCUCAACAAAUAAAUUCUUUUCACUGGAAUCCAACAAUCGUUAAGUGUUAACCUUGUAGUUCUCAAAAGCAGAAAUUGUUGUAUUAAUUUUUUCAAAGUGUCUCAGUUAAAAGAAAACUAAAGAUAGAAGAGAGUGAAAUUUCAACUGAGAUCUUGCCACAUAAGACGAUCGAUUUAAUCCUUUCUGUAUCUUUCUUCUAUCAGCGGACAAUUCUUGAUAUACAGUUGCAAGAGUGAGGUAGGCACGCUCUUGUCCAAAAAGUAUUUUAGCUUCGGACGAAUAUAAAGCCAAAGAUACACCAACGACGUGAGAUUUUGACCAACUGAAGACAGGCAUUCCAGGUUUUGGAAAUCAUAAAUCCACAAACGGGUUCCUAACUCCUGUGGCGAAAUGACACCAAGUCAUGAAGUCCUCCGAUUGACAGUCGUUGUAGAGAUGAGAAUCUGCUCAAUCCCCCUUCCCCCCACCCCAUCGAUGGCUUCCAAAUCUUCAUAUCAUGAAUAUAAAGUGACCGAAUGUUGAUGGGAAACAUACCAUCAUCUGCCUCAACUGGGAAGCAAUACCCUAUACGCUUGCCAGGCCUGCUCUGUUCAAAUCUUGAAGAUUGUGCUUGUCCUUGCGUGAGGCCUCUAGUUUAUCACACCACGUUAUUCGGAGCUUAGUCAGUUCCGCAGAAGGCAACCCUCCGUCAGGAAGGGUCAUUUCAAUAAAAGCACAGUACAAUUGCUUAACUAAUUUUUAAAAAACAUAGGUAUGAGAGAUUGACAAUUUACAAUUGCUUAAUUGCUCAAGAAGAGAGCAAGCUUGAAAUAUGAAAUAUGAAAAAGAGAACACAAAUGACAAAUCUUAAGGAAUUGGCAGGAUUCACGUCCGACCAACUCCACGUUGCUAAAGCAAAAGAUUAAUUUUUGAGAAAUUGUAAAGAAACUAAUACAAGUGAAAUGAGAGCAUGUUCAUUUGAUUAUUGGCUAAGUGUCACAGGAUGAGUAUUGUGCGCAGCUAACCCGUGUGGCACUUAGACAACUUUGCCGAAUGUUGCUGAGUAAGCCUAGAGCUUCUCAAAUUAGAGAAGAGAGCAAUUAAGCCGAAUAAGAGAGAUUGUAUUGCACAAAGAGAGAUUACAAUGCUUGAGUUGCUUACAAUGCUUGUUGUUGUGUUUUUUGGAUGCAAAUGCCUAAUGCCAUCCCAUAUUUAUAGGGGAGGCUUGCCAAGCUCUAGAGAUUCUAGAGAAUUCUACCAUUUCCUAGCUAUUUACAUGUGCUAGAAUUCUAUGAAGAAUUCUAGAAUAUUUACAAGCUCAUUUGUACUAGAGUUGGCUAGAAGUUUCCAGAAUUGGGCCAAGCUAGCACUCUUGGCCUUGUGUUGGCUCUCUAGCCCGAAAUUGUGGGCAAUUGGGCUAGCAAAUUGGGCGGACCGUAACAUCCUCCCCCACCUAAGCUCGCAGCAUCCUCGUCGCAAUCUCAUCCUUGGUCCUUGAGAGACUUGUUCUGCGAUUUUCCGUUAGUCUUCUUGUGCUUCUCUCUUGGGGAGGUUCCGCCACUUGCUCCGCAUGUGGUCGUUUCCUUCUUUUGGCUGGUGUUGCGGCGUCCCCUCUUGUGUUUCUGCAAACCCUUAUGCUCGGAUGGCUUUGUACGUUGCUUAGCCAUUCAUCUCGGUGGGAGCUUCGGAGGCAUAGCAUCCUUACCUUUGUCAUGGACGACUCGUACUUGUUGUGGGACUUGGCUUGGAGGGCUUUCGAAAUCCUUUCCCUUGUGGUGUUGCCGGAUGGAGACCAAGUGGUCCUGAUUCUUCUUGAAUCCUCGUCUGCAUUGCAUGACCGAGAGCGCCUUUUCUAUAGGUUGUGCGCGCUCGACUGGUACCACGCAGCCUUACUCCCAUCGAAGAUGCUAAGGGAGUUCGUUGCGAGGAGUGGGAAGGCAUAUACCUUGUCGAAGAAUUCCAUGCCAAAGAUUAUUGCGAAGUCAUCCAUCGGCACAAUUGAGAAGUCGAGCUUCCCAUUCCAUGUCCCAAUCGUAACGUGUAUGCCUCGUGUGGUUCCCGCAAAUUGCUUGAUGGGUGAGUUUACAGCUUUGAUGGUGCCUCCGUGUUGCGUUACCUUGAGGCCUAGACACUUAGCCUCUUCUUCGGAGAUGAAGUUGUGCGUUGCUCCGGUGUCAAGGAGCGCACGAAUGGUUCGGCCAUUGAGGAGCACACUUACGAACAUGAGCCCUUUCCUUAUAGGUGCUGGCGGUUGGUUCAUGAGUGUGCUAAGGCGUUGGAGUGAGCCCAAGUUGUGUUGGGGUUCCUCCGCAGCCGGUGUAUGUUGGCCCUUGAGUUGUGCCAUGAGGACAUUAAGUGACUUUUUCUCCGAGCAGUCGCGCACCCAAUGAGGGCCAUUGCAAAUGAAGCAUGGGCUUCGAGGCUUGGGUGGCUUCUCAGACUUACUUUGCCCGCCCUUGCCACUUGGAGGCUUUUUCUUGCUCCACUCCUUGCAAUUGCGGUCGUUGUCCUCAUGGCUCUCUCCCCCACCUUGGUCGUAGCUAGACCUCUUGUCCUUGAGCUGGGCAGAGUAUUCAGUGAGCGACUCCGCAACGGCGAUGGCGUCGUCAAGUGUUUGAACACCACGCCUAUCAAGCUCGGUUUUGGCCCAAUCCAUAAGGCCAUCUUGGAAGUAGAAGAGCGAAUCCUUGUUGGACAUGUCGCUUAUCUCCAACAUAAGGGUAGUGAACUCGUUGAUGUAGUCCCGAAUGCUACCUGAUUGCUUGAGGCGACGUAAGCGCGUUCGCGCUUCCUUCUCCGCAUUGCUUGGGGCGAACUGCUUUCGGAGUUCUUGCUUGAAGUCGGCCCAAGUGUUGAUGGUGCAAAUACCCUUGCCCAUCUCGUCAUGCUUGCGACGCCACCAUAAUUGUGCAGUGCCUCUAAGAUAGGUGGGUGCAGUGCCCACUUUCGAUGCCUCAUCUCGAACACCCAUGGCAUCAAAGUAUUGAUCGAGCCCAAAUAGGAAGUUGUCCACGAUUGUGGCAUUGCGUGUGCCAUCGUAGGUGUCGGGCUUUGGCACAUCAAUGUGGCGCGCCGUGCAUCACUCGAGUUUGCAAAAGCUGGACUUGCGGAGAGUGUGCGCUUGUGCCAUGCUCAAUCCGAGCGGACUUCAUCCACUUCCGCACGGACAGCGCGUAGUUCAUCCUGAACAAAACUAUGAAGUUUUAGCAACUCAUCAUGGAAAGAAUGAAACUCACCUCGGAGAGUGUUCGCUUGCUCUUGGAUGAGAGCUUUUGUUGCCACCAUGAACUCAGCGUAUUCUCCCUCGAGACCGUCCACUCUUUCCUCCAAUCCCUCGAGGCUAUCUUGAGCGGCGGACAAUGCGAUUUUGAGAGUAGUCACACGAGGCUCCAACGCAUCCACGGAUGGGGCCUUGGACUAGCCGCGAGUCUUGCCUUGGGCUCGUUCUCCCUCAUGGCCGGCGCUUGGUUCCAGUGGAACAUCCACACCAACAACACCCUCUUGUGCUACGUUCGAAGGGUUGGCCAUUGCUCGUGAGCUAACUUGCGUGUGUGCAAACCUUAGCUCUGAUACCACUUGUCGCGGGAUGAGUAUUGUGCGCAGUUAACCUGUGCGGCACUUAGACAACUUUGUCGAAUGUUGCUAAGUAAGCCUAGAGCUUCUCGAAUUAGAGAAGAGAGCAAUUAAGCCGAAUAAGAGAGAUUGUAUUGCACAAAGAGAGAUUACAAUGCUUGAGUUGCUUACAAUGCUUGUUGUGUUUUGUGGAUGCAAAUGCCUAAUGCCAUCCCAUAUUUAUAGGGAAGGCUUGCCAAGCUCUAGAGAUUCUAGAGAAUUCUACCAUUUCCUAGCUAUUUACAUGUGCUGGAAUUCUAUGGAGAAUUCUAGAAUAUUUACAAGCUCAUUUGUACUAGAGUUGGCUAGAAGUUUCCGGAAGUGGGCCAAGCUAGCACUCUUGGCCUUGUGUUGGCUCUCUAGCCCGAAAUUGUGGGCAAUUGGGCUAGCGAAUUGGGCAGACCGUAACAUAAGGGUGAUUUCAGUAACGUUUCAAAGAAGAUAUAGGACAAAGAUCAAAACGAAAAAUAAGAAAUUUCCACACAUGCAUGCGUCUGACCAACAGAACAUCACUUGUGGCAAGGAUCAAUCAAAGAAAUAUAAACUUACAAUUUUAUAAAUUAAGCAUCAAAAUGUUUGGCAAGUUUUAGAUUUGUAGAAUAUUGGGAAAACAGACAAAUAAUCAAUGAAGACAUUGCAAGUUAGCAGAUCAAUUAAACAAAGGAAAUAACUGAUCAAUUCUUUGUUCAAUGGCCACAACAACAGAUUAAAUAUAUCUACAAGACUACAUUAAUCCUAAUGGCAUGGUAGCAUCUCCAUGCAACAUUACAUUAAAAUUUCAUCAUCAAUCAAUUGCGAUGAUAUGAUAUUAAAAACAUUGACUUCAUAAUUUUAUGUAAUUUCAUAUAAAAGAUAUAAUUGAUUUUGAGUUAGUUUAACAUAUAAAGAAAGAGGAAUAAAGAAAUGUUAUCAAUGUGGCAUGUGAUGAGUAAUGAUAGACAACAAAUAUUAAUCAUGCAAUAAUGAAAUAUGUAUUUACAGAAAAAUAUUUGGCAAUAAAAUGAUGCUAUAAAAGUUUAAUAUUAGUUGCAAGAAAAUAAAUUGGCAAAUAAGAUUAACAUAUACAUAUGCAAUGCUUCAAGUUUAUUUUAUCACUUCCCUAACCAUUUUGUAACUACAUAUUGAUUAGAAGUUCAAUUAAUUUCGACCAAAGACUCCAGAGCAAGUCGAAAAGAAAAAAAAUUAGAAAUGAAAUAAGGCAAAAUCAAUAAAAGUAUAUUUUAUAAAAGGAACAGAUACAUAAUAUAAAUUUAGUUUUGAAUUACGUAAUUAUUAAUUUAUAUAGUAAGCGAGUCUUACAGAAAAAUAAGAAUUUUUUAAAAGAAAUUUGCUGAAGGAAAGAGUUUAGUUUGGUUUAGCUUGUGAAGGCUCAAGUAAUUGAUGUUAGGAAAUUGAUGGGUGAAGCAGACACGCAGCUAAAGUGAAAUUGGAAGAGAAUAAAGAAGAAGCACAAAGAAGACACAAGAAAAUUACGUGGUUCGGCUUUUAGCCUACAUCCACGGGCAAAGACAAAAGGAUAAUUUUUCACUAUAAAGGGAGAAUUUCAAGUAAUUUGAGAUAAAUUCCUCACUACCCAAAACCCAAUUUAUUACACCCACACUCUCAUAUAUAAAUAUUGAAAACAAAUACUUAUUUUUCUCUCUUUUAUAAGCUAUUGGAUGCACUCCAAAUGAGAUGCAAAACUCAUUUGCAUGGCUCCAUUUAUAUAGUCAAUUGUUGGCUAACAAAUUCCACAAAUUAGGUUUGAUAGCCACCUAACUCAACCACCUCCAUUUCAUUUUGUCCAUGGUCGGCAAUUACCAAAUCAAAAUGUCAAUGACGGCACCCAUUUUUCUUCAUUUUUUUUUCUUCUUCCUCUUUUGUCUUCUUUCUUCUUUUCUUUGCCCUUUUUGGUGGAGCCUUGACAAUUGAAAGCAAUACAAGCGAAGGAAACAUAAACUUCUAACUUUUACAAAGUAAUCACUAAAAUAUUCGACAAGUUUGAGAUUUUAAAAAAUCUGGGAAAAUAGACAAAUAAUAAAAUCCCUACAAGUUGGUAGAGCAAAUAAUCAGAGAAAAACAGAGCAAAUAUUUACCACAUUAUAUAUGUAUGUAUAUAUAUAACGAAUGUUGCGAUUUCUGUUUGUAGAGCAAGUGAAUCCAAACACAAACCAGAACAAAACGACGGCGUUUAGAGCAAGGGUUAAGAUUCGUUAUGAAGCCACGUGAGUAAGCUCGUGAUCUCCGUAAGUAAAACGAGGCUCAGCCUUGCGUUAUCUCUGUUUUCUCUGUGAUUUUGUCUCUGAUUCAUUUCUUUCUUUCUUCUUAAUUCUAUUUCUUGGAAGUUUAAGUCUGGUUUGUCGAAUAUUGAGUUGAUUCAGAUUCGGUUCUGUGCUUGUCAUUCAAGAUAUUGGGCAGAGUCUUCGGUUUGACGAGUUAAUUAGAUCGUCCAAAGCUCUACAUUUUUUUUUUUAAAACAAAUUAUAAAAGCUAAUUUCAUUGUUACCUCGCAAACUGCUGGGAAGCUAAUUACAGAAUUUCCCCUUACUCUUGAAUGGUCCUGCAAUUUGUAUUCCUUUAUGUGGGAUUGGUUUUUUCUUUGAACAAAAUUUCAAGGAUAAGAAACCUUACCCAUCGAUUAACUGCGAUAUUUAUCCAACCUCUGAUUUUUCUUAAUAUUUCUCACUUGUUCAUUUCAUGGCACUUUUAGCCGCUACAUUGGCAUUUUCUGCCAUUUGCUUUUGUUCAUUGAAGUAAGUUAGCUUAUGAAAUUGCUUUUUAAUAAAUGUUCUUCAGAGGGAUUGUGAAAAGGCCAAAUCAACUGAGAUGAUCGGGUUUUCUAGAUCAGCCAUCUCUGUCCUCAACGGUGCUGAACAGUCAAUUACUCAGACACCAAACUCUGACCUGAUUCAUAUGGAUGUAGACCAAAGCUUCUUGCCUGCACCAUGUCUGGUCAAAGCUGCUAUCUUUGAAAGUUUUGCAGGACAAAACAUGUCUGAGUCAGAUAUUGACGUCACCCCUAGCGUAAGACAUAUAUAUCAAGAGCAAUUUUGGUUUCUCAGUCGAUACAGAUACAGAAUUCACUUAUGCAGGUUGCUCUCAAUCUCUGUUUAAUAGGCUAGUCGGCUAGUCCUCUGCUGUAUCCUAGAAGGUGGACCAUAAUGCUUCCAAUGGGAACUAUGUUUCUGCUGCAAAAUUUUUGAAAGCGAACAUUGUGAAUAUCCCUACUGAAUAUGAAGUGGGCUGUAAGGUGACAGAGAAGACACUUGUGACAAUACUCGAGACUGUAAAGAAGCCGUGGGUAAACAUUUCUGGUCCAACCGUCAAUCCAACUGGCUUGCUUUACAGCAACAAAGAGAUGUGUUUGUGCAAAAUAUGGGGCAAGAGUUGUGAUUGAUACUUCAUUAUCGGGAUUGCAAUUCAACUACGAGGGUUGGGGUGGCUGGAAUCUGGAAGGCUGUUUAUCGAAGCUGUAUCGUCUGUCUCUCUGUCUCUCUGCUCGGAGGGCUGUCUCCGAAGAUGCUUACUUACUGGAGCCCUCACAUUUGGAUUUCUGGUUCCAAACCAACGUCAUUUAGUUGAUGCAUUUAGUAGCUUUCCGAGAUUAAGAAUAUAUUUUAUGCUAUUAAGAAUACAUUUUAUGCUAUUAAGAAUACAUUUUUGAUAAAUUAACCUCAACUCUAAAUUUUAAUUUAGAGAAUGUCGAGAAGAGAUUUGAUUUUUCAUAUAAAAAAAAUUAGAAAUGAAAUUAGUCAAAAUAAAUUACAAGAACAACAAUAAGAAUAUAUGUUGUAAAAGCCAUAAAUACAUAUAAUAUAAAUUUAGUUUAAGAUUAAGUAAUUAUUAAUUUGUAUAGUAAGAGGGUCUUGUAGGACAAUAAGAAGUUUUUAAAAGAGAUUUGCUAAGGAACAAGUUUAGUUUGUGAAUGCUCAAGUAAUUGAAAGCAAUGCAAUUGGAGGAAAUAUAAAGCAAUCAUCAUAAUAUUUGACAAUCUUGAGAUUUUAAAAAAGUCGGGAAAAUAGACAAAUAAUGAAAAUAAAGUAAAUAAACAAAGUAAAACAGGGCAAAUAUUUACCAUUAUACGUACAUUUUUUAUUUUUUAUUUUUCCAAAAACGAAUGUUGCCAUUACUAAUCUAGAAUGUCAGCUAUUGUAUAGAAGCACACUACCACACGUUGUGCUUUCUUUUUCUACCCCCCCCCCCCCCCCCCCUUUUAGUAGUUGAAUUUACUAUAAAUAGAGUUUCCUCUCACUCUAGGAUAUUUGCUGUGGUCCUGCGAUUUGUAUUCUUUUAUGUGAGAUUGAUUUUUUUUUCUUUAAAUAAAAUUUUGGGAGAUGGGAAAUCUCAUCUAAUAAAUACAAAUUUUGAAUUUUAUUAUUAUUUAACCUAGAUAAUUAGGUAACUAAAGUGCAUGCAUAACUAGUGAGACCGUGCCUAGCUAAAUAUAUGAUUCUAAUUUCGACUUUGAUUUCAAUUUUCGCUGAACAUAUAUCUAUUCCAAAUAAAGAGUUAAUGCACUUUUCACUUCUCUGCCAAGGAGGUCCUAGGGAAACUAACAACAGCAGAAAAACAAAUAAAAAAUCUGAUACAGGCGUAGAAUAUACACAAAUAAGUAUAUCUUGAGUUGCGUAUAUACACAAGUAAUGUUCUGCGGAUCUGUAGAAGCAAUCUCAACCAUCCAAUGUUUUUUAAAUUUUAAUGAACAUAGAUUUUAAAUGUUGGACAGUUUCGAAAAAUAAACUUAGCAAAAUGAUAUUAUUAACAAAUAAGGAGCACAAAGGUAAUUAAUCUUGGUGUGAAAAUAUUUUCAUGGGUGUACUAAGAAAAAAAACAAAGAUAAUAGAAGGAAAGUUAUUGAGAAGUAUUUUGGUAUUUACAAAAGUGUCAUCGCCUUUUUUUUGGCUCAUGAAGUUGACUGUUGUUUGUUGCUGCUGCAUAAUUGGCUUUGGGCUGCCAUAGAGUGGUUGUGCUGGUGUUGGUAGGUUGGAUUGGUUGCAACUUGUAAGAUGUACACUUUUUGGCAGUGUGUCCUUGAAUCCUGCAGAGUUGGCAAAAGCCAAGGUAGGGACGUUGCUGUCGAUUCAAAUUGUUGUUUUGAGAUUGUCCUGGAUUCCGAUUGGUGUUGGUUGAACUUUGAUUGGCAUAGUUGUUACUAUUGCGCCAGUUGUUAUUGGUGCGAGUUGAAACAUGAGCAGUGAUGGGGAAGGCAGUUUGUGGUCUCGUGAUGUUGAGCGUGGCUUCAAAGUUGAGGAGUUUCUCAUGGAGUUCUUCAAAGGAGAUUGGAGUAUCUCUUGCUUGAACAACUCUGACUAACUUUUUGUAGUCAUCACCAAGUGUCUCUAGGAUCUUAUCGAUGAGGUCAUCAUUAUCAAAUGGUGACCCAAGUAGAGCUAACUCAUCAGCUCGUGCCUUUACAUUUUGCAGAAAUUCAGUGAUUGAUUCAGGUCCUUCAGUCAUUUGUUUGAUUUGAUUUUUGACUUGCUUGAUUCGACCACGUGAGGGUUUGGCAUAUGUGUUGGCAAGUGUGGUCCAAGCUUCUUGUGAUGUUUUGGUAUUAGCAAUAAACGGGAUUAUAGAGGGAGAGAUUGAUCCAAUGAUUGCAUUUAAAAUCAAUUGGUCUUGUCGGAUCCAGAGAGUAUAUGCAAGAUUUGGGGAUGUGCUGUUGUUGGCUAUUACAGUUGUAGAAGGGCAUGGUUUAGAGCCAUCUAUAUAUCCGAGGAGAUCAUAGCCAAAGAAAAGUGUUUGGAACUGUAACUUCCAAGAUAGGUAAUUGGUGGUAGUUAAUUUGAGAGGAGUUUGAGCUGCGACAUUGAUGGUGAUGAGUGUGUUGUUGGAAUCAUUGGUGUUUCAGAUAUUAGUGUUUGAAUGAUUGCUUGCCAUUGCAAGAAUUCAGUAGAAAGAGGGGGAAGAGAAAAGAAAAAUGGAGAGCUUUAAUGCCCUGAUACCACAACAGAGUAAAGGAUUUUGAGUGAAUACUUUUCCAUUGAUUGUAAGACUUUAUAUACAGCAAUAUACAUAACAACCUUGCCUAUUUUAAGAGAUUAGAUAACAGAAAAAUAUAUUUUACAUUUGAAUGAAUUUGAGUGAUAAACUAGAUAGUUCCCAUAUAUUAGGAGGAGAAUCUGUGGACAUAUCUAAUUUACUCAUUCAAACUCAAAAUCCUUUACUCUGUUAUAAUCUGGGUCUUUUAAUUAUCAUCUAACUAAUGCAUGUGCACUAGUUUCAUUUAUGUCUAUCACUGAAGAGUAAUGUUGCUUGGUUGAAUAGUGUCAUAUUACAUCACAGAAUUAAACUCACUCGAUUUUCAUUGCCACAUGUAGCUCAAAAGUGCAUGAACAUUGACCAUUCAUCUAACUUAUACUAAUUAAUCAAUACGAAUAUCAGUUCUUAGUACCCGGCAACAUCCGUCCAUUAGAGUGAAACUCCCAAUGAUUUCAUCUACACAAAAUAAAUAUCGUAUGUACUUUGAAUAUGAAGUUUCAGCACCUGAGAAAGCUAGCCAUUACUUACAUAUUGCAGCCAUCCAACCCAACAAGAAAUCCAUUAAUCUACGGUUAAUUUGACACAAGGUAUGAUUUUGCAAUGGCCAAUUGUAUAUAGUCAGUAUGCAGUGGCGGCUUUAAUACUAGACGAACUAGGCAGUUGCCUAACGCCCCGUAUUUAGAAAGGUCCCAAUUUUCGGUAUCUAUUUAUUAAUUAAUAUAAUUAAUUUUUUUUAAGAUUCAAAAAAAUUAAGUUACGUAUAUAUUUUUUGUACAGUAAAAAAAGCCUAAUUUUUAGGCUUUACCCUAUCAUUACUCUCAUUCAUAAUUAUCUCUCUUAUUUAAUAAUCUUUGCCAUAAAUAUAAGAUAUAUUUUUAUGCUAUAAUAAUGAUUUUGAACGUUACUUCUUUACUUUCUUUUACUAUUUCCCAAAAAACAAUCAAUGCUUUCCCUUUCCAAAAAAAAAAAACUCUUAUUAAGAUUAGUAACGUUAGAUUUUUAGAACUAACUUUUGGUAUUCUAUUAAAAUCUAUUUAAAAGCUCAUUAUCUAUAAACCGAUACACAUUGAAUCAAAGCUAUUUUCAGCAAAAAGUUUUUGUGCUCUCUUCUCUUCUCUACAAAAUUCAUUACCAUCAUCAUCUUCAUCUCAACUAGUCAAUUGACUCAAAUCCAGGUGCUAUCGUUCUAUUUUUUCUAUUUUUUAUUAUUAUUGUUCUUAUCCUUUUUAAAUUUAAUUUAUUUUUGAUUUUUUGUAUUGAUUUUGGCUUGAUUAAUCUAGAAAAAAAAUUGUGUUUGUUUAUUUGUUUUUUUUAUUUGAAAAGCAUGUCAACUAGAAAAUAUGUAUCGGGAUAUGAAAAAUUAAAAAAAAAAGAGGAGAAUAGAAAAGUUAGUUCAAUCCCAAAAAGGAGCUCUUGAUAAAUUUGUCACAACUAGUAAAAAAGAUAUAGAUUUAAAUGAAGAAUUAGUUAUUGAACAACCAAGUUUAAAUGAAUUAAAUAAUGAUGAAACGGUGAAUGAAAUAAACAACAUUGAAGAUGAUAAAAAUAAAAAUGCAGAUAAAGUUGAUGUAGAAAAUUUAUUUGUUCCAAAUAAUAUUUAUGAUCCAGGAAGAUGGGAAAAUGUUGAUACAAAGUUAAGAGAUCUUUUAGUAGAAAAAGGCCCAAUUAGAGAGAAUAACAUAACUUUCCUAAAAGAUGAAAAUUCUAGGCAUUUCUCUACUCCAUUUUAUGUUAAAAUGUUAACAAAUGGAGAAAAACAUGAUAGAAAAUGGUUAAUAUAUUCAAAAGAUUUUAACAAAGUAUAUUGUUUUUGUUGCAAAUUAUUCAAUUGUAACAAAAAUUAGCUUAGUGAUGAAGGAACAAGAGAUUGGAAAAAUCUUAAUUCUAAACUUAAAAGUCAUGAAACAACCAAUGAACAUAUAACUAAUAUGAAUGCGUGGGUUGAUUUAGAAGCAAGACUAUCGAAAAGAAAAACAAUUGAUAAAGAUGUUCAAGAAAGAAUUGACAAGGACAAAGAACAUUGGCAAAAAGUAUUAAUACGAAUUAUUGUUGUUGUAAAAAAUCUUGCUAAAAAUAAUUUAGCAUUUCGUGGAAAAAAAAUGAGAAGAUCUGUGAAGAGAGAAAUGAGAAUUUUUUAAGUUUAAUUGAAAUGAUUGCAGAGUUUGAUCCAACAAUGCAAGAACAUAUUCGACAUAUAAAAACCGGUGAAAUUCAUGAUCAUUAUCUUGGACAUAACAUACAAAAUGAACUCAUAUUAAUGCUAGCACUUGAAAUAAAAAAAAUCAAUUGUUAACAAAGUUAAGGAAGCAAAGUACUUUUCAGUUAUACUUGAUUGUACUCCAGAUGCAAGCCACCAAGAACAAAUGUCUCUUAUAUUAAGAUGUGUGGAUAUUUCAACAAAUCUAGUAAAGAUAGAAGAAUAUUUUUUAGGAUUUUUACAAGUUGACAAUACCACUGGAAAAAGGUCUUUUUAAUGAACUUGUGAAUGUAAUUAAAACUCUUGAACUUGAUAUUAAUGAUGUAAGAGGACAAGGAUAUGAUAAUGGAUCUAAUAUGAAAGGAAAAAAUCAAGGUGUACAAAAAAGAUUAUUAGAUAUAAAUCCUAGAGCAUUUUAUACACCAUGUGGCUGUCAUAGUCUUAACUUAGUGCUUUGCGAUAUGGCUAAUUCUUGUCCUAAGGCUAUUUCAUUUUUUGGAGUUGUUCAACGUGUUUACUCACUAUUUUCUUCUUCACCUAAGAGAUGGAAAAUUUUACAAGAUAAUAUACCUAAUUUAACUGUUAAAUCAUUGUCACAAACAUGUUGGGAAAGUCACAUAGAAAGUGUCAAAGCAAUAAGAUUUCAAACUCCCCAAAUUAGAGAUGCUUUACUUGAAUUAGCAGAAGUUAGUGAAGAUCCUAAAAUAAAAAGUGAAGCUAAAUGUUUAGCAACAUAUGAAUUGGAAAACUUUGAAUUUUUGUUAGGCAUGAUUAUUUGGUAUGAUAUAUUAUUUGUUGUGAACACUGUUAGUAAAGCUUACAAAAGGAAGAUAUGCAAAUUGAUGUUGCCAUAAAUCAACUAAAAGGUCUUACAUCCUUUUUUGAGAAUUACAGAGAAAAUGGUUUUGUGUCUGCUAACUGCUAUGAUUUCAGCUAAAGAGAUUGCAAAUGAAAUGGAAAUAGAACCAAAAUUUCAUGAAAAACGUAUAAUUCGUAGAAAAAAUAAAUUUGGCGAGAAUAAUAAUGAAGAGAAAAUUCUAUCUCCCAAAGAUUCUUUUAGAAUUGAUUACUUUGUAUAUCUAGUAGAUCAAGCUAUUUCUUCAAUCACCAAUAGAUUUGAGCAGUUUCAAUUCUAUGAAAAUAUUUUUGGAUUUUUAUUUAAUUUUGAAAAAUUAAAAUCAUUAGAUGAUGAAAGCUUAAAAAGUUAUUGUAUUAAUCUUGAAAAUAUCUUGAAAUAUGAUAUGUUUUCUGAUAUUGAUGGAUUAGAUUUGUUUUCAAAGUUAAAAGUCUUAAAAGAAGUUUUACACAUGGAAAGAAAUAGUCCACUUGAUAUACUUAAUUAUAUUAAAAAAGUAGAUUCUUUUCCAAAUGCAUUUGUUGCUUAUAGAAUAUUAUUGACUGUACCUGUAACUGUUGCUUCUGCUGAGAGAAGUUUUUCUAAAUUGAAGUUAAUAAAAUCUUAUUUAAGAACUACAAUGUCACAAGAAAUAUUAAAUGGAUUAGCUAUAUUAGCUAUUGAAAAAAAUUUGUUAGCUAAAUUAGAAUAUAAGAUUUUAAUUAAUAAUUUUGCAUCUCAAAAAACAAGAAGAAUAAAAUUUAAUUGAUUAGUAAUUUGCAUUAGUGAUAGCUUGCAGCAAGGAUCAUAGUAGGUAGGAUUAAUGAUUUAAAGUUCACAGGAAGAUUAUGGUUGUGGCUUAUGAAGUUUUAGAGCAUCUUAAGGAGAUGGAAUUUGUGGGAUGCAAAGUUAGUUAAUAUUUGUGUGGAAAUAAAUAGAUAUAUUUCUGGCUAUUAUUUUUUUUUGGGAUCUUGUUAAUAAUUGUUGUAAUUCAAGAUAUUAUUGAAUAUAGUUAAAGUUUGAGCUAUUUGAUGUUGUUGUGAGAAUUUUUUGAGCUGUUUAAUAUUUUUGUGAGAUUUGAUAUUUUAACAUUAAAAGGCCUAAAAUAAAAUUUCGCCUAAGGCCCCCAAUUGGUUAAAGCCGGCCCUGGUCGUAUGGUAUUUCCAUAUUAUAAAUGCUCCUAAUGAAAAUGAAGCAAGUACAUAAUACUACUACUAUGACAAAAUUUUCAUGAUUGCCAACUGUCAAUACCAGCUACCUCUUAUACGUGCCUUAUUGAGCAUGGAAACACCUUAUAUUAUAAUUUCCGUUCUACAUAGAAUAAGUUCAGGGCCAUUAAUUCAACAAUUACCAAACCAAUAUCCCAACAAUGGUUUGAUUAUUAAUCUCAGCAAUAAAAGUUCCGCAAUAUAAAUUUCAUUCUCUUAUGCUGAGUUGCUUAUUGAGAUGAUGAAUACUCAAGGGUUCUUCCUCGAGAAAUUUCAGCAGACACCUGAUUCAUUCUAUCAAAUAUUAGCAUCACUAAUCACUAAAUGAUAUAAGAUAGUUCUGUUUUGAAAAAUCAAUAUAAAUCAAUUAACUUAGAUUUUCUUAGUCUUGGAGCACAAUGCGUGAUGAUUUGAUGAGAAAUAUUAAUAUGCAUGCAUCCCCCUGCGUUCGUUAGAGCUGCUUGACACUUUCUUCUUUCUUUCUUUUGGGUACUGUUUUAUAUUUUUAAUCAAUCAGAUUGAGCUGCAUGUUUGCUUUUAGUCCAAACUGAAAUCAGACAUUAAGUAUUUUUGCUAGAAUGAAUGCAACCAAGAUUCUAUGGGAUAUGUAUGAAGAUGAUGUAAUAAAGUGCUUUUGAUAAAUUUCCCUGGUCGGUUUACUUCACUAACCUCAACAAGCAAAUUCUCCCAAUGACCCUCAAACUCUUGUGCACAAUUAAAAUAAUUUCAAUUUUAUAUAUACAAAAAUAAGAAACUCUCAAAUAUACUAUUUGAUAAUCACAAAAAUAACAAUUCACUCCAGUAAAUCAUAUUACAUUCUAUAUUGCAAUUCUUUUUAAAUUUAAUUUAAUAUUUUAUAUUAAAUAAAAUAAAAUAAAUAAUAUUAUUAUAUUUAACUAAAUAAUAAUUUGCAUUAAUCAUAAGUUAAAAUUACUUAAAAAUAAUAUUAUUAUAUUAAUAGAGAAUUAAUAAAAAUUACUAUAUGCUAUCUUUAUUUAAUAAUAUAAUAUUAUUAUAUUUAUUUUAAAAAUAAUGGUACCAUAUUUAUUUAAUAUUAAUAAUUAAUAAUAAUAAAUAGUUUAUUCUAAGAAAAUAUUAAUUUUGCACUAAAUAAUAUUAUAUUAAUAAAUAAUAAAUUUAAUAUAAUUAUAUUAAAUAAAAUAAAAUAAUGUUUCAUUUUAUAUUUACCCUUCUUUUUAUUAAAUUUACUAUAAUUAUAUUUAACAAAUAUUUAAAUAAUAUUAUUAUAUUUAACUAAAUAAUAAUUGGGUUUGACUCUAAGUUUAAUUUACUUAAAAAUAAUAUUAUUAUAUUAAUAGAGAAUUAAUAAUAUUACUAUAUACCAUCUUUAUUUGAAAAUAUAAUAUUAUUAUAUUUAUUUAAAAAUAAUAGUAUUAUAUUUAUUUAAUAUUAAUAAUUAAUACUAAUAAAUAAUUUAUUCUAAGAAAAUAUUAAUUUCAUACUAUGUUAAUAGUAAAAAUAUUUCAUUUAUAUUGCCCUUAUCAACAAUUUUUAAUUUAUAUAAUUAAAAUUAAAAUUAAUAAAAAAUUGUGAUGUUCAUAAUUAAGAAUAUUAAUAGUUAUUAUAAAUUUACAAAUAUAAUAAAAUAAAUGUUUAUUCAUUAAAAUAUAUUUUUUAUUAACUUUGUAAUUAAAAACUAUAAUUCUUUAAAAUAAAGAUAAAAUUGUAAUUUGAAACUAUUUACUCCCAAUCCAAGACAAAAUAAACACAUAAAUUGGAUUCUGAUCUUCAUUUCAUGCUUCCAUUCCAGUGCAAGUAAGCAAUCUACUCUCAAUCCCACUCCACACUCCCACUCCUGAGGAUUCCCACUCUAAUCUAAAAAGUAAACGCUACCUAAGUGUAAACAGUUCCACUUUAGAUAUAUAUAAUGAUGAUGAAAUUUUGUUUUCUCUGAACAAUCAUUGUAGUGUUUUAUAAUGAGUAAUUGGCUCAAUAUUAAUACAAAACUAUUUUAACAUGUGACAUAUUCUAUCGUAGUGCGCUUCAAUAUAGACUUUUAACUCAAAUAGAAAAGUUUCCAUUUUCUGCAGAGCAUUCUGCAAAAUGUUUCUUCAAAUGUUUCUUCAAGAAUUAAUUUUUUGUCCCAAAGAGAGAAAAUUAGAUUAUAAAAAUCUGCAUGCAGGCAUAUCAUAUGUUAAUAUUAAUUUUUUGUUGCUGAAAAUUAAUUAAUUAAGUCCACUACUUCCUUUUUUUUCAAUUUUGUGUCGUGCACCACAUUGGGCACUUCUGAAUUACGUUGCAUACCUGUUAAUUCAAAGAAAUAGAACUUUUGUGUAAAUCAAACUUACUUCAUUAAUAUUCUUCAUCAUUAUGGUUAAUGGCUUAGCAAAUGCAUGAGUAAGGGUCACCCAAAAUAAAACACCUUCUCUUGUAUUAACCUUUGCUAGCCGUCGAAGUUAAAAAAAUUUUUGAACAAGUAAAAAAUUGGGUUGUUAUAAAUAUUUCUGAAUUUCAGUCUAAGUUGAAUUGUUUAAUUGUGUAUGCACAAACUAGCCUUAUCACUUCUUUCAUAUUGAUAAAAUAAGGAUAAAAUUGUAAUUUGAAACUAUUUACUCCCAAAUCCAAGACAAAAUCCAAGACAAAAUAAACACAUAAAUUGGAUUCUGAUCUCCAUUCCAUGCUUCCAUUCCAGUACAAGUAAACAAUCUACUCUCAAUCCCACUCUACACUCUCAAUCCUAGGAUUCCUACUUCUGAGGAUUCCCACUCUAAUUUAAAAAGUAAACGCUACCUAAGUGUCAACAGUUCCACUUUAGAUAUAUAUAAUGAUGAUGAAAUUUUGUUUUCUCUGAACAAUCAUUGUAGUGUUUUAUAAUGAGUAAUUGGCUCAAUAUUAAUACAAAACUAUUUUAACAUAUACAUAUUCUAUCGCAGUGUGUUCCACUGUCAAGAAGCCAGUUUUGACUGUUGAGCAUGGCUUCAAAGCUGAGGAGUUUCUCAUUAUGGUUCAUGGCUUGUGUUAAUUCAAAGAAAUAGAACUUUUGUGUCAAUCAAACUUACUUCAUUAAUAUUCUUCAUCAUUAUGGUUAAUGGCUUAGCAAAUGCAUGAGUAAGGAUCACCCAAAAUAAAACACCUUCUCUUGUAUUAACCUUUGCUAGCCGUUGAAGUUAAAAAAAUUUUUGAACAAGUAAAAGCAGUUCCAACUCAAAAUCAAUAGUGUGCAAUUGGGUUGUUAUAAAUAUUUCUGAAUUUCAGUCUAAGUUGAAUUGUUUAAUUGUGUAUGCACAAUCUAACUUAACAAAAAGAAUAUUCAACUUGUCACAAAAUGUUUAAAAAAAAAAUCAUAUACAGUAGUUAAUUUUUCUUCUUCUUCACUCCUGUAUCCAGCUCCAUUCCCCUCUUUUUUGCCGUUAUGCUGCUCAGCUGUUAGGUUUUAAUUUCGCUAAUCUAACGGUUGGGAUUUGUAAAUGAAUAAUGAAGUGAUGUUCGGCUACUAUCUGAUUGCAUCAUGUGCCAUUAACAUGUGCCAUUAACAUUUACAUGAUUAAUGUCAUCGAGAUCACAUGGUUGUUAUUUAUGAAAAGAGAAUUGCUGGAAAUUUUGUUAAUCCACUAUUGCAACAAUAUAUUGUUAUAAAUUGCAUUGUGUAACGUAUGUGAGAGAGAACACGUAUACACGUGUGAGAGAGAAGAAGAACCUACCAAAAACCCGACCCGCAUCAGAGAACCGAACCGGUUGUAUUUCACGAUUCCGGCCACCUCACCGGCCGAGCAAGGUAUCAAUUGGAAGCUUAAAGACUGGCCAUUAGAUCCCAGCCGUCAGCGUCGCCAAAAACCGACCGGAACGCCGCCGUUUGUAGCACGAAAAACUGGCCAUUCCCGUCAGAUCAUUGCCGUCACCUGAAACGGCCGAAUUGCCAUCGACCGGCCACUUAGAGGCUCACGGCUGUGGGAACUCGAUCCACCACCAUCGUCGCGCGUGGGACGUCACCGCUGGCACCGUUGGAUAUAAAUCAAUCACCAUAGAUUCUCUUUGCUCAGAACACAAUGGGUGAUGAUUUGAUCUGCAUUCAGUUGCAUAUUUUCUUUUAGUCCAAAUCGAAAUCAGAUAUUAAGUACAUCUUCCAGAAUGGAUGCAACAAAAAUUCUAUCUGAUCUGCAGUUCAUGAAAAGUGGCCAAAUGCUUCCGGCAAUUCAGGCAAAUAGAAGCUUGGUUGACUGAUUGCUUUUCGUGUGAAAUUCUACCUAAUGGCUAUCCUCUUAAUGGUUUAAAUUCUUCUUUUUUUUCAUUGAACUGUUGAUUUAUAUUGUCUUGUAUGCAAAUUAAAUUCGGAAUUUCGGAUGAUAAUAAUCUUGAUUUAGAACAGAUUCGGUAACAUGUGGCAUUCUACAUUCUUGCAAUGCCAUUUCUUGUUAUGGCAGCAGCAUUUGUUAUCAUCGUUUCUAGAGAGAAUGAAGAGAGAGAGAAAGUAUCAUCUUAUUCCUUGUUAGUUUCUCCGUGUGAGCUCUGUAAAAUUACUUUGAAUCAUAAAUAAAACUCAUUUUGGUCGAUUCUCCCUUGGAUGUAAGUUGUGCCUCAUUGCACAACUGAACCACGGAAACAGUGCUGGUUUCUGUGUGUGAUUGUUUGUUAAUCUUGCUUAUUUCUUUUUUCCUAAUGGCUGAAAUCUUGCUUUAAGUUCUCAAGUCAUCUAUUGAGUUCAUCGAGGUCAUUCAAUUGUUCAUAUGUAGCUAGUUUGAUCUUGAACAGGGUCUUGGGCAGUGUUUUGAUGGCUUGAUUAGCGGCUAUCUUGACAGUACAAUUGGUAUCAGAACUAGUUCUUCAGAUCGAGAUCCAAGUAUGGCUACAUCAAAGAUUGAUCUCGAGAAGUUCAAUGGAAAGAAUGACUUUAAUAUACAAAACUUGUAUCUAAUGGUUUACAUUUGGAGAUGAUGUAAUAAAGUGCUUUUGAUAAAUUCGCCUGGUCGGUUUACUACUUCACUAACCAUUAAUCAGCAAAUCCUCCUAGUGACCCUCAAACUCUUCUACGCAAUUAUAAUAAUUUCAGUUUUAUAUAUACAAAAAUAAACAGCUCUCAAAUAUGUUAUUUGAUAAUGACAAACACAACAACUCACUCCAAUAAAUCUCGUAAUAAAUACAUGGUCUCUAUAUUGCAAGUCUUUUUAGGACUCAUUCAAAAAGAAAACUUAGGGAAUGGCAUUGCAAGAAUAUGGAAUCAGAAUAACAGUGAUACAAAGAGAAAAAAAAAGGGAUGGUCUGAUUGCUUUGUUUGCAAAAUUAUUGGUGCGGGGGUCUACUUCUUUUUGUUUCACUUUAUCAAUUAAUUAGCGAAGCAAACAUGUAAUCAUUUGAAAAAGGAUCACUAGCACCAGCUUAGACAUAUUAAUUUAGAUGAAAAUGUAGCGUUAUUAAGUUAUGAAUUCAUUAACUUGAGGUAUUAAUAUUUACUAAUGAUGGUGAUUAAUUUAUUUAACUUGUCAUAGUCUUCAAUUAAGAAUGAAGUGCAAUCAAUUUAGAAUGAAUGCAAUCAAUUUAUGGAAUAUAUAUAUAUAUAUAUAUAUUUUACUUUUUAAGAUUUUAAUUCUUAGGAUUUCAUUUUGCUCAGUUUCGAUUAUUGACGUUGUUGAAGAGGGCAAUAAAAGCUAGUUAAAUUUCAUCAAAGGCUUGUAUCUCAUCUCACAAAUUGGCAAUGUAGACACUGCUGUCUUUGCAUCUCAGGGAAUGAUUGGGCUUGGCUGUGUCAUUCGCAAAUCAGAUGGUGGAUUUUUGGCUGCAAGAUGUGUUGGCAGGUUUGGAACAUUUGGUCCGAGGGAGGCUGAAGCUCUUGGUAUCCGGGAGGCUCUUAGCUGGCUAAAGGAGUACCAGCUUCCAUGUGUUAUUGUUGAGAUGGACUGCCUUCAAGUUUUUCAAACUCUGACAGAGGGUUUUUAUGGACCCAAUGGCUUUGACCUCAUCAUUGAGGAUUGCAGAGAGUUAUCUCGAGCUAUAAGAGAAGUGAAAUUCUCGUUUGUUCGUAGAUCUGCGAAUGUUGCUGCUCACUUUGUUCUGAGGGCAGGAUAUUCUAUGACAGAUUCUCGAGUGUGGAGUUUUGUUCCACCUCCAUGGUUGCUAAAUAAUUUGUAAUUCGAUUUUUGCUUAAUGAAAUUCCUUUCAAAAAAAAAAUAAUAAUAAGGACGAUUCAAUAUAAGUAAAUGUAAAUAGGACAAUAAUACUUUUGACUUUCAUGUAGAGCGCACACAUUCAUGUAAAAUUCUUAAACCUUAAUGUAUAGAACACUCUUCAUCAAAAUUCAUUUAAAAGCCUAUUUCUUUGACUUAGAUUUCGAGGAGGUUCUAUGAGAAUAACCAACUGCUGAAAAACAAAUAAAAAAACCAAAUACAAGUGUAGAAUAUUCUCAUUAAAUUUUUAUUUUUUGCACAAACAUGGCCUGCAUAUAUACACAAAUAACUGCUCUACGAAUAUGUAGAAGCAAUCUCAAUUGUCCAAUUUUUUUUUCAAAUUUUAACGAAUAUAAAUUUUUUAUGUUGGAUAACUAUGAAAAAUAAGAUUAGGAAAAUGAUAUUAUCAACAAAUAGGGAAAGCAAAGGCGGUUAAUAUUGGUGCGACGAAUAUUUUUAUGGGUGUACUAAGAAAAAUAAAGAUAAUAAAAGGAAUGCUAUUGGUAACAUCAAUAGCAUUCUUUCAUAUGAUGCACAAAUUACCUUUAUCACUUCUUUCAUAUAAAUACUCAUAAAUUUUACCUAAAUUAUCAAAAAAAAAAGAAGAAAAAAAAUCAUAUAGUUAAUUUUUCUUCUUCUUUACUCCAUUAUUCAAUAGGAGUAUAAUAAACUAGGAGAAAAAAGAAAUUAAGGAGAAAAUUAGGGUGAUUACUGCAAUGAAAAGAACUCAGGCAAGUGCUUAUUUCAGAUACAUGCGUGGCAUUCAUUAAUUUGACCAAAAAUAAAUGAAUUUAUUUGUAUUUUAAUCAAAAUCGAGGGACAUCAACAAAAUUUUUCCACUCCAGGUAUUUAUCAUUUUCUCGUUAAGAAAAAAAAAUUGCAUAAAAUUAAGAAACCAGUAGUCACUGAACGGGAGAAACAGAGUGAAGAAGAAACCCUAGCAACAAUCCUAGAAGAAGAAGAAUAUGAUGAUGAAGAUACGGCCAUGCCCAACGUUAAGCACAACCCUAAAAAAAAAACAAAAGACAACUCUUUGGACCCGAGCGAUGCCUCUGACUCCGACUCGGAUUCUAACUCAGAAGACGAAGCAAAACAGAACAUUGAGCUUCAAAACUAGAGUAUCAGCUGUCCAAUGAACCUUCCAAUUACGACACCCAUGUUCAAGUAACUUCAAUUCGCAUACUUAUUCAGUGAUUUUGUGGAUACUCAUUUACUUGUUGUUUCUUAAUUGGGUUGCGAUAAAAAUGGCUUUUUUUUCUUCAGUAUAUAAAGGUUUUGAGAAAAAUGGGUGAGAUAGAGAAGCUGAGACAAGCUAGGGAAGCGAUGAGAGAGAUUUUUUCCAUUGACUCCUGCUAGGUGGCAAGAAUGGGCGAGAGAUGAAGCCUCUAUUUCAACUGGGUAUCUGUCAUUUCCUUUUUGCAGUGGUUUUCGAUUUUUUGAACAAAUAUUUUUUUCGCUUAGAGAUAUAGAUGUUUAUGUUCAUUAUUUGCUAAUGUAAAAAGGAACAAAACCUGCUUAAAAGGUAUUAAAGAAAGAAAAAGAGAACCAAUUUGAAGAAGGGGAUACUUAUAGUGGGAGUUCUAUUCUUUGGGGUUUAAUUGAUGGGAGAAGAAACACCUUAUAUGUUUACAGAAUUAGACAUUCGAUCGUUGAGUUAGUUGAGGAAGAUAUUUAAUCACAAUGUAUGAUGUUGUUUGUGUUGGCCUCAGCUAAUUGUUAAGAUUUCAUACUUUCAUUCAACAAUGCAAUAGACUUUGGUUGGGUCCACCUUAGUUGGGUGUUCUGAGGAACCAAUGAGUGUCUUGAGAAAACUUGGGUGGAGUGUGGAUCAUUUUCAGGAUUCAGUUUCCAAGAAAGCAAAAACGAAGUCGGAGUCGUAGUUUAAAUUAAUUUAUGUUUUUGUCUUUUUCUGUGAGCCCAGUGAGCUUUUGUUUUCACUUUGUUCUCUUUUGCUUCUUUCCCUCCUUUUCCUGUUGUUUCUUGACAAUCAAGCAGAUCAGGAUUAAGUGUUUACUUUUGGUGUAAUUAUUCACCCUAACUCGAAUAAUACAUAGUUUUAGUGCUAUCAAAAUAGGAAGUGAAUUAAUAUCUGAAGCUAACUUGGGAGUGGAAUGUGUGUUAGUAAAAAUAUGCUAUUAUGGUAGAUAGAAUUUGCAUUUUAGGUAAGACAAAUAAUUACCGCUGUUAAUUUAUUUCAAUAAGUUCGUACAUCAUUCGAUAAUAAGUCGAAGAUUUUAAUGGUUUUGUUUCCUGCAAAUUUGUCAUCAGUGCAUGGACAAAGUUCAAUGGAUGAACUUCUCUUAGUUAAUUCGAGUUCUGUAAGAAACACUAAUCUUGCCCUGUACUUUGGAGUAUUUUAAUAAUUGAUGUUAAGAUUUGCUAAUGUGAAAAGGAAGAAAACCUGCUUAAAGGUAUUAAAGAAAGAAAAAGAGAACCAAUUUGGAGAAGGGAAUCCUUAUAGUGGGAGUUCUAUUCUUUGGGGUUUAAUUGAUGGGAGAAGAAACAGCUUAUAUGUUUACAGACAUAGACAUUUGAUUGCUGAGUUAGUUGAGGAAGAUAAUUAAUCACAAUGUUUGAUGUUGUUUCUGUUGGCCUCAGCUAAUUGUUAAGAUUUCAUACUUUUUUCUGGUUUUUCAUAACUGUGACCUAAAGCUUAAUGUAUACUUUGAUAAUUACAUAAUCGGCUUCUUGCUGAUAUUUGGCUUUAAUUUGUAGACCUGAGGCUCUUUUGGGAGUUGGGAAGAUUUACGAAAGAGGAGUUUCUGAUUAGCUGGUUUGUUCUCUUUAUGCCUACAGAAUUUGAGUUCACUGGUAAGCUUGAUUCACCUUGUUUUGAUUUACUACCAAGAGGUGUUAACAGUUCAUCAUGCACAAAAAGAGGUGGGGAAAAAAAGAAAUCUUCUUGCUAGAUACAUAAAUUUAAUAGUUGAAUCAUUUUCAACCAAAGAAAUGUGCUGAAGAGCAGCAUUUUCGUUUAUAUCAAAGUUCAAUUGCAUCUUAUAUCAUCUGUUUCCAUCUCCUUUGUGGUAAAUAAAGUCCUUGAUGAUGACAAUAAGAAUCACAGAAGAAGUUGUUAAUUUCAUAUCUGGAGAUUUUCAUCAUAGUAGUUCAUUGAAAGUGAAGACAGCUGAGUAUUGCUUUUUCUGAUGCAGUCUGUCCCUCUUUGGUGUGUUUAUUUGAAAUUUGCGCAAGAAUAUGAUCCAUCUAUACGAGAAUGUGCCUAAUAAAAUAUCACAAAGGUGCCUAAUACAGUGAAAUUAACAUAUUCAGCUCAUGAGAUUGCCAUUAUAUAUAUUGAAAAAGAAAUUAAUAUAAGAAACUGAAAAUUAAUUGACACUGGAUCAAAUUGGAUUGUUAGUUGUUAAUUAUGAUGGGAAUAUAAUCUUGGUCUUUUAAUUAUCAUCUAGGUAAUGCAUGUGCACUUUCAUUUGUGAGAGAGAAAAUAUUUGACAAUCACGAAAACAACAACAAUUCACUCCCAUAAACAACAUAAUAGAUACAUGGUCUAUAUUGCAAGUCUUUUUAUGAUUUUAAUUAAAAGAGAAAAUGCAAAGGACAUAUUAUAUAUAAUUGAAUGUUCUCCUUGAUAAUUGGUCAAAAUAACACCAAUCUGGCUAACUAAUACAAUCAUCAUAAUUAUCCGAUUUUCAUUUUAAUUAUGUCCAAUCAUGCUAAUUUAAUAAAGAACACGGAAUACAUGAGUAUUUAUAUGUUCAACAACUUUGGCUGAGUAUGAAAAAUAUAAAAGCUGCAUUUUUGCUUUGUGUUACUGUAGGACAUGACCAUAUUAUGUUGCAUUUGUCAGAAAACUGAAAAUUAUCGAAAAGGAUCCUAAAAGAGAUGUGUUGAAUUGUGAGCUUAAAAAUGAGUUUUAGAAGUUUCUGACAUGUCGGUUUGUAUCCUUGAUUGUGCAUGCCCUGUUGGUUUCUGGAUGAAACAGGAGAAUAUGACAUCUGUGUAUUGUCUUUUACUUGCAGUAAGUGAAUCACAUGUUCUUCACAUGAUUUGACAUACUUUAUACGGAUUUAGCAGUUGUUUUGGUCACUUAUUGACUGACCGUUGUAAGGCGGGAAAAUUCUGGGUUUCUUACAACAAACCCAGAAGGCAGCUGGUGAGUGGGAGAUGUUUCUAGCUUCUUCAUGAUCUGUAUAUAUAGUCUUAGAGGCUAUAGUUGAGCCAUAUGAAAAGCUUGUAACUCCUUAAUGUUUGUAGCUUGUUCUUGGUAAUUGCUUUGACGAGGGAAGUGAGCUAAAAUGAUAUCAACUUUUAUUUAUGGACAGGUUAAGAAAAUUUUUGAGUUCCUGAAAAAUGGCUUCCAUGAGAUCAGCAGUUCUUUGGAUUUAUCUUUCGAAUAUGAUUUGGUUGCUGAUGAGAAAAUUCCAUUCCUAGCUGAUCUUGCCAGUGUUCUAAAUGAGCAUUCCUUUUUCCCAUAUGAGCCACCAGCUGGAAGCAAAAGAUUCAGGAAUCUGAUUGCUGACUUCAUGAAAAUGUACCACCAUAUUCCACUAAAUGCUGAUGUGAGAAAACCUUCACCACUCAUCUGUUUUUUUACUUCUCUGGACAAGUAAUUUUUAUAUUGUCUGUCCUAGAUUCUGUUUUCCCUGAUGCAUUAUUUCAAUUUCUUUGCAUGUGAAGUCCUAGGAUCUGUUUCCCCUGAUGCAUUAUUUCAAUUUCUUUGCAUGUGAACUUGGAGCAUUCAUAUUAGUUUAGGAGUGAAUCUAUUGGUCAUUUACUUGUUUGUAACAAAUAACGUAUGAAACAAUCUUGUUAUUUUUUAUUCUCAAUAUGUAGAGCUCUAUGGACCAAUCGCUUGUCUUCUGUUAUCCUCAUUAGAAUUUCUUCAGACUACUUCCACUUCAUGCUAUUUGUGAUAAGUUGUAUUGUUUUUGUGGUCUUUCUUAUGUCUGUUGGACAAAUACUGUAAUAUGAAAUUUUAUCUAAUGGUGUCCUUUAUUCCUUUUGCAUCAUGUCCCCUCUAGUAGUUAAAUGUAUUUUUGGAUUUGUCAAUUUAUUUGGUUUGAUGAAAUCUUGAUUCUCAUGUUAUCUAUCUGUUUAUCCAACUUGACCAGGGAAUGUGUUGUUGAUGUGAGUUACGCUGCACGUGCUUGUUAUUCAUCUAGUCCUUUUAUGUAAACAUACGUGUUUGGAUGUACUCGUAUAUAUACUGGACCCGAGAUAUUUGCACCUGACCUACUUAUUGAUGUACAUGUAAAAUGAAGGUCUUUUGGAAUUAUAACAGUUUUGAUGAAUCUGAAUUAUAUACUGGAAUUAUAUACUGGACCCGAGAUAAUAAUAAUCACACUCCAAUUCAUAAGGAUAAUCCUCGUGUCAUAUUAAUGUGUUAAUACGAAGGUCUUUUGGAAUUAUAACAGUUUUGAUGAAUCUGAAUAUUCAAUAACUGAUAAAUUGUAUUUAUUAAAAUUAAUAGUAAUGGCACAGAAACAAUUAAUUCAAGAACUCGCCUAUAGUGCAUUAAUUUAAAAUAAUUUUUUAAUGCAGUCCAGUCCUUAUGUGUUUAAUUAGCAAUUGAAAACUGCAUAACAUAAUAACGUUGUUGCUGAUGAGGCAGCUGGUAAUUCUUUUGGUGCAGAUAUUAAGGCCACUAAAGCUGAAACGUAAUGAGAGAAAUAUAAUGUGUUUGCUUAGUUUGCUUUGCCUUUUUCAUAUUUGUCUGGCCAAUGCUUUACUUAGAUUGCUUUUUGUUUUUCAUAUUUAAUUGGCUUUGUAGCGGGGUACUAUUUUCUCUUUUCAUUUUUUGUUUUCUCAUAUAAUGUAAUAAAGUGCUUUUAGUAAAUCAUGGUCGGUUUACUAUUAAUUAAUCAAAUUUACUUUACUUUGGCUGUAAUAAAGUGCAUCAUUGUUAUUAUAAGCUGACCCUGUCAAUUUCAUCGUAUGUAUAUGUCAAUAUGUGUGUAUAUAGACACACGCUCGCAUACACAAAAUGAAAAUAAUUUUGAAAUAUUAAACAUUUAAAAUAGUCAAGCAUAUUAACAAUUUACAAUUUAAAUUAUACAUAGACGAAAUAAUGGUAACAACAAUGAAGUGCGUUUUAUAAAUCUUGGUCCUACAGUAGUAAAAGAAUUAAUGAGUUUGGUUUUUAUUAAUAAAAAUUAAAAACAAAUCUUUUUCUCCAGAACUUAUUAUGAAAUUUAAGGAGGGAAAAAAAAAAGUCCUACUCCGAUUCAUAAAGAUAUUCCUUCUUCUUUCAAAUUUGAUGUGUUAAUAUGAAGAUUCAUUCUAAUUAUAACAGUUUUUGAUGAAUCUAAAUAUUCAGUAACUGAUAAAUUAUAUUUAUAAAUAUUAAUAGCAAUGGCACAGAAACUAUUAAGUUAAAUUAAACAAUUUUGUAAUACAGUCCAGUCCUCGUGCGUUAAUAUUGUUGCUGAUGAGGCAGCUUGUAAUCCCUUUUGUGUAAAUAAUUAACUUUCUUUCAUAUGCACAAUAUUUAAAAUAAUCACCAAACAACAAUUCACAAGUUACAUUACACAUAGACCAAAUAAUACUAAUCUAGCAAAUUCAAUCAUAAUAAUUUGAUUUUCAUUUAUAUUAAUUAUUUCCAAUCAUGCUAUUUUAAAAAAAAAAGAACACUCCAGCGUUUAUAUAUCCAACAGGUAAAAUUUCAAAACAAUAUUUACCAAAAUCUGAUGAAGAGAAUAUACAAACGCACAUAUAUAAUUAUAACCGUACAGCAGAAGGAUAAAUAAAAGAAAAUGAAGUUUCAACAGCUGAACAAUGCAUUUUAUUGUUAAUAUAAAAAUAAAAUAAUAUUUUAUUUAAAAAAUUCAAAAACCCAUUGGCCUUAUAUACAUGAUAAAGAUUCACCGACGCCGAACCAUAUUAAUUUAAAUUAGUUUUCAACUGAGAUUUGAAUUUUGAAAUUACAUACAAAAACACGCCCUUUUUUUUUUAAAUACUAAUAAUAAAAUAUUUCAUUUUUCAUCUAUUACAACAAACACACCCGAUUUAAAAAUAAUAAUAAUAAUGCUAACAAUAAAAUAUUUCAUUCGUCCCCUGUUGAGUCGUAGUAAAAAAGUCUUUUCCAAUCAAAAUUCCUUUCCCAAUCUAUUUUAACGCAAGGUAUAUGGGUUAACAAAUCCCAAUAUUGUCCUCCAUCCUUUCUGCACUUCUCUUCUAUCAACGGACAUCCCGAGAUCCAUAAUUGCAAAAGUGAGGAAGGCAGGCCCUUCUCCGGAAAGUAUUUGAGCUUGGGACAACCCGAGAGUGUCAAUGAAGUGAGGUUUUGAAGAUCAACAAUUGAAGAAGAUAGGCGUUCCAGAUUUGGAAAUUUAUAAAUGCUCAGAGAUGUUAGAGAGGCAGGAAGAGGAAGCGCGGUCCCUAAUCUUUUGUCCUCUAGUGGAAAUGACACCGUGUCGUCAUCGCAUCCUCCGAUUCUAAGUUCUCGCAGAGAGGAGAAUCUGUGAAAUCCCCAGCCCCGCUCAAUCAUUGACUUCCAAAUCUCCAUAUUACCCCGAAUAUCAAGUGACUGAAGGUUGGUGGGAAGGCCAUCUUCUUCUUCAAGGCUUGGAAGCGCACCUCCUAUUCCUAUUGUUAAGUGUUGAAGAGAAGUCAGAUUGUGCAAUCCCUUGGGUAAGGCCUCUAGUCUCUCACAAUUAAAUAUCUUCAGCCUCGUGAGUUUCGUACAAGGCAAUCCCCCUUGGGGAAAGGACACCAGAUUUUCACAAUUAUAAAUACUGAUUGUUUCAAGAGAUGUGUUGUUGUCCAACAUUUCUGCUAUUGACUCCAGCUUUGAACAUCCAUAAACAAAAAGGGACUUAAGAGACGGAGGUAGAUUGCCAACUUCAAGGGAUUCAAGCGUGGCAAGUAACUCGUUUUUUGAAAAUAUACAUGUCAGUGAUGGACAAUCCCAAAUAGUUAAGUCCUCAAGAAGAUAUGACGUGUACCUUCUGCUGCUGCUGCUCUGGAUGCCCUCUUCCACUGUCAAAGUCCUUAUAUUAUCGCAACGCCAGAUCGUCAACUGCUUAAGGCUCGGUGGUAGCUGGACUUCAGCAAUAUAUGUCAACGAACCGCAAUACUGAAUAUGCAAGAUUUCGAGAGACGAAUUGGUGUCGCACAUCCAUGCCUCUGGUAACGAUUUCAGUGCAUCACAAGAACUAAUCCGAAUUUUCUUCAACUUGGAAGGCAGAGCAACCUCAGGAAAGGAAACAAGGGAACUGCACUUGCAGAUUUCUAUCUCUCUCAAGGAACAGAGGCUGAGCGAUGAUUGUGGUAGCUUCACAAGGCCUUCGCAAUUACUCAAUCUUAGAUAUUCAAGUCUGCAUGACAACUCGCAGAGCUGCUGUUGUUGGUCUUUCUCUUCCUCCUCCACCAAGGAUUGAAGUUUGGGACAGCUGUCAAUCGUCAGUCGUUUGAGAGAGCAAAUGUCUUGCAGCAAUUCGUUAUGACUCUUCCAUAUAUCUGUUUCAUUUUUAAUAUUAUUUAUCUCCAAUUCUUCCAGUUUUGGUAUUCGCGGCUUCAAUGGCCCUGCGAGAAACACUUGAUUUGAUGUAUCUCUACAAACCACUGAAUUCUGUAAGCCGAGAUGAUCAGUUGCACUUCUCCCCACAACCUUUUUACAUCCACUUACCAAUUUGCAAAGAGCUGGAAGACUCGUAAUUGAAAUUGACAAUUCUUCGCAUUCUCGAAUAACAAGCAUCUGCAAUGCAGGAAGGUGCUUUGGAAAUGCUCCUUGCAGUUUAGAACAUCUUAAAAUGUGAAGCUCUCUCAAUUUAGGAAACUCUUCAACUCCCUGACUGGAUCCAUGAGGAAUCCAGUCUUCCCAUUCUUGCAUGUUUUCAAAACAAAGAGUCUCCAAGCAUGGAAAUGGAAUUGGAGAGUCAUCCCCAUAGAACUCUGAACCCAAUCUCUUUACUCUACUCAUUCCACGCACUGUAAGAUGCUUUAGAGAGGGCAGUUGCCCGACUGACGGCAGGGCAGUACACAUGCCGCAAUCUUCAAAUUUAAGUGUUACUAAAUUUGAGAAUGAUGAAUCUCCUAACCAUGUUGGAAAUUUUGUACCUUCAUAGCCACAGACACCAAAUUGUUCCAGAUUUUUAUGGGGUUUGAGCAUGUCAAGCACACCCAUUUCAGUUUCUGCCUCCCUUGAAGAUGAACCAUCGGUACUGCAUGUCCAUCGAAGCAAUAAUUCUCUAAGAUUCUCCUUUCCAUCCAACCGAGCCUCCUUUGCAUCACCAAUGUCUUUUACAUUCUCUAAUUUUGAAAUUUCAAGUGCCCCACGAAGAUGCAUCAACAACUUUAGCUCUGAUAACCCCGAACCACUGUCUUUUCCCACAACAAAAUUACUCAACGUCUGAAGACAAGUCAACUUGCCAAUUCCUACUGGCAUUUCCUCCAACGAAUCUGUAUUUGAAUUAUUGAGAUGAUGCAAUUUGAUGAGGUUUCCCAUGUCUGCACACAACUUCUUCAGUAGCUGACAAUAUUCCAACAAAAGCGUGUGUAAAUUGUAAAGAUUGCUCACUGAUUCAGGCAGAGUUCUAAUCUCAGUUCCAGACAGGUUAAGGUACCUUAAAUACCUCAAAUCACCAAUUGAAUCCGGUAGCUCGGAGAUGUAAUAUCCAUGCAAAGAGAAGACCCUUAAGCUUUGGAGUUUGAACAACUUUGGAAGAAUGCUAUAAGCCAAGAAUCCACGCGAACUAUUUGACAACAUUAGUGGUAAAAAAGUUCGCAAAUGUUGGAUAUCAUACAAUUUCUCAAACCUUUUAACGCCGUCACAUUCUCCACAAAUAUAUGAUAGAUGACGAAGAUUUCUUGAAAAACUUUGCUGCUUGUUAACCUCUGAGAUAUACUCCAUUCUGAAGUACAUUUCCCCAGCAGCCCAUUGAGCAAGGUCGUUGACGAGGUCAUGCAUCACAAAUCGUGAUCUACUGCUGCUUGAUUGCUGGAAAAAAGAUCUUGCACGUAGCUCUUGAAAGAACUUUCGACCUAAAUCUUCACUAGGAUUCCCGCUCUCUCCGUGAUCCAAGAAACCCGAAGCACACCAUAAUAAAAUUAUCUCCUCCUCUUCAAAUUCGUAAUCCUUUGGUAACAAUGAGCAGUAUGCAAAGCAUUGUUUCAAAGUUGGAGGAAGGUAAUAAUAGCUCACUGCAAGGGCUGGUAUAAUGCGACAUCUCUCUUGUGGUAAUUCCCAUAUCUUGCUACUGAGCACAUCUUCCCACUCACGUCUGUCAUGUUUUCCACGUAAAAGUCCUCCUAGUGUUUUUGCUGCCAAGGGCAAGCCAUUGCAUUUGAUCACUAUCUUCUUGCCAAUGUCCUCCAAUGACUUAUGAGAACUGAAAUCUCUCGUUCCCAAAGAGUGCUGAGCAAACACAGACAGACAAUCUUCAGUUGACAAGUUUUUCAAUUCAUAAGCUUGAUCCGGGCUCAUGAUUUUUGCAACCUCUUGAUUGCGAGUAGUGACAACAAUCUUACUUCCCUGUGCGCCAGCUUCAAACGGAAGGCUGAGGUCGACCCAAUCAUUGUAAUCCUCAUUCCACACGUCGUCCAAAACUAGCAAAAACUUCUUUCCAAACAUGUGUUUUUUCAAUUUCUCUUGAAGCAAAUUUAAGUCCUGAUUAUCCACAUUCUGGUCAGCAGCAAUGGAAAUUAGGAUUGAUUUUGUAAGCCUGAAAACAUCAAAAUCAUCAGAGACGCAAGUCCAUGCCUUGAGAUCAAAAUGAUCCUCCACCUGCUUAUCAUUAUAGACAAGCUGAGCAAGAGUGGUUUUACCCAGCCCGCCCAUACCUAUAAUAGGAAUAACAGAGAAUCCACCAUCGUUUCUUGAAUCAUCCUUCAACAACAAUUCAACAAUUUCCUUCUUUUCUGUUUCCCUGCCACAGACCUUGGCUUCAUUCACCAAAGAGGUUGUGGGUAGUCUUUGCCUGUCUUUUUUGGACCUCCCAGCUGAACUUACGUUCAAACCCAGCGAGUCUUUCUGUGUUACAAUAUCUUGAAAUCGGUCGUUGAUCUCUUUGAUUUUGGAGAUCAUGGCGUAAUCGAACUGAAUCGAUUGUGGAGUAAAAGUGGUGCAGCAAGUAGGAAUGAGCUUCCGAAACUUACUUGUUCUUGUACGACUGCUACUGGGUUGAUCCUGAGCAGCAGCUGGAUCUCCAUUUCCAAGCAGCAACUUCCUCCGGAAAGCCUCAGUUUGAAACUCAUCCAACAAGUCUUCAACAUCAUAAGCCAAGUUCUGAAGCUUGCCAAGCCACUUCUUCACAAACCGAUUAGUCGUCUUCUUCUCCUCAGCAUCAUCAAGCACCGCCUUGAUCAUCUCCAACAUAUUGUCCCACUUCAUUAGAUCGUCUUGGAUCUUCUCUUGGCGUGCAAAAAACAGAAUCCCCUCUGAAGCUAACUUAUUGACCAGCAAAUCAACGGACGCUGUAAGGAUUGCCUCUCCGAUGAUUGACAUUUUUUUUUCUUUCUUCUCUCUUUUUUUUUUUUUUUUGGGGGCAAAGAAAGAAGCAGAAUUUUGAGUUUUGAAAAGCAAAAUGAGAAAAUUGAACAGAAAGUGUGAAGGGUCAAGCAAAAUGAAUGUACCAAGUCUUCCGCUUGUUGUUUAUUCCAGGAAAGGGCAAAUAAAAACAGAGCCCACCACCCAUUAAUAAUUUAGCAAUUUACCAAUCACCAACCACCACCACUUGUUACCAGAUUCAAUAAAUAUAAAAUCGCACGUUGAUAUUUGUAGGGCCAAGCAACAUUAAUCCAAUGUCCGGGUAAAUGCUGAAUAAAGAGGAAGGUGGAAUGUAUCUGCUACUCACCUUCGCUUUACAAGUCUUCAAAGUCAUAAUAAUUACUUUAUUUAUUGAAUUAAUUUUCAUGCUAAAAUGAAGACUUAAAAGUAUACUACAAUAUUUUAUAAUCACAAUGAUAAUUUUAACAAUCAUGUUAUAUUAAUGUCAUGUAAAAAUAAUUUAUAAUAAAAUUUUAGCCGAAUAUAGUAAAUUCGACUUAUUUAUUAAAUAUAUAUAUUUAAUAAAAUAAUAACACAAUUAAUAUGUUAUCAAUCAAAUAGAAACUCUAAUGUGAAAACAAAAACUGUCCCACCACCAAUAAUUUAGCAAGCUUCACUUUAUUACACUACAGUGAAAACAAAAUCGGCCCCCACCACCAUCAAUAAUUUAGCAAGCUUCACUUUAUUACACAAGUGAAAACAAAAACAGCCGCUACCACCAUCAAUAAUUUAGCAAGCUUCAAAUGCUUGUGCUUGUCUGCUUGACGUACUGGGCAUGGGUGGACCAGGCAUCAUUGAGCAAUUCCAAAAAAAUUUUUAAAAAAAUCAGUGUCCAGCAAAGAAAAUCCAUCUUUUGAGAGAUAAAUUAAACAUAAAUACUUAGAUGUUUUUAAAUGAUUGAAUAAUGAUAUUAUUGGUAUUUAUAAAUUUCUAAGACGCGAUAAUUAUGUGGGGGACAUAUAUUUAUGGUUAUAGAAAAUGGCGGUAAAAAUGGUACAAAUCCAAUAUAAUAAAAAUGUAUAAACUGUAGUAAAUUAAUGUUUACUUCAAAGUACGUUAUAAAUAUCGCUUUCCUUAAUAUGUUAUUCGCUCCCAUCGAUUGAGUUAUGCAUAUGGAUUAAGCAAAUAUGCAUCUAAGAUACAAUAAAGCGUUGAUUUGUUUGUUUACGUUGUACAUCAAUGAAAGCAAACAUGAAUAUUCUUGAAUGUUAUAAGCCUAACAAGAAUUAAUAUAUUAUUCUUACAAAAAAAUAAUAUUUUAGAUAUUUGAUGCAUAAAAAAUAAAUGUUAAUCGAUGAAAUUCUUUUGAAGAAAGAGGACUACAAAAAAAAUGUAGGAUCAUUUUAUUCAUGUCUAAUUGACAUUUAUUUUUUAUGAAUGUAGGGGUAUUUUGGUAAUUUUAUGGACACAAGCGUUAUAUGUUGUGGAUAGAUGUUCGUUUUGAACUACAUUGCGUGUGGUUAGUCGUAUUUCACAUUUAUGAAAAGUAAUUAUGUUGUUUCCUUGCUUAGGAGAAACUGCGAAUGAGAACCAAGCCAUUGAUAUGAACAAUAGUCGAGUUUAAGUAUUGUCACUAUAAGUGAAAUAUGCAAACCCAUUUUCAUAUUUUAUUAUGAUUUUAGAGUGUAGUAAACCAUAUUUGCAAAAUAAGAUUUUAAUGCUCUAAUUUAAUGAUUUCUAGAAUAAAUUUGAUUUACGUAUUGGUACAUUAUUAAAAAUUUUAUGAUUAUUGGUUUUCCCUAUCGAUUUUGAGUAACGCAUAAUAGUACUUUGAAGAAAAGAAAAGUAAACUUAAUGUUAAUGGAAAGAAAAGAAGACUUAAUGUACGAUAAAAAAUGUGUUAUUUAUGUGUAUAAAAAUUUGUUAUUAAAAAUCAUGAGACAAUACCUUCUACAUCUAGUUACAAUGAUACAGAUAAGAUGAGAGCUCUUUGGGGCCCCUCUGAACACAUAGAGAGGUUAAUAGGUUGUGUUUUUUAGCGUUUUUGCCCUUUGGAGGCUUAUGCAUGCUGUAUGAUAAUAAAAAAGAUUCAAGAUACAGAUAAGAUAGAGGCCUUUGGGUCUGUCUAAGUGCACAUAGAAGCUUUGGAUCGUGUGCUUGGGUGCUUUUAUCUUUAGGGACUAUUUUAUGCAUGUAGUAUGAUGAGAUAUGAUAAUAUAUAUGAGAUAGCACUUCAUUGAUCUAUCCUUUGUAGCUCCAGGCAUGACAAUGCCCGUAUAGUAUGUCAUUGCACUGCCCAUAUGAGGUCCAGGUACGACAAGAUCAUUUACUUGUUUAGUGACAGUUUAAGAAUAAAGUAUUCUAUGUUAUCUUUUGCUAUGAUUUUCAUGUGUAUUACGUACAGUAUAAUGUAUUCUUCAAUGACAAUUGUUUGAUUUAAAGUUUGAAUAAUUUAACUAUGUUCUUACUUAUAGAUUAGUAAAGUUGGUAUGUCGAAAAGAUAUGAUCAUCUUUAAAGUAAGUUACUUUCAAAAGAUGUUAUCCACUCAUUGAGCUUACUAAUUUUUAUAUUCACCUUAUUUUAUUAUAUUUUUCCCCCUUAUAGAAGGAUGCAUGUAUACCAAUCGACUAACCGACUGUAGUUAUUUUGAAUUUUUGGUCACGUGAUGGCGCUAGGAGAAAUAGAUGGUAUUAUGCAUUUUGAUCAUCUCAUUUUGGAAUGUAUAAUUGUAUUAUGAUUUGAUGAUUAUGGAUGUUUAAUAUAUAUUGAAAUCAGUUAUAUUAUAAUCUUUUCAUAUUGGAGAUGUUUGGGUGUUAUUUGGUAUUUUAGUUGAGAAGGUUGAUUGAUGGAACUGAUUAUAUAUUAAAGUAUGUUAGGAGUGCUUGUAUAAAUUUUCAAUUUUGGGAUUGUUAUAUUUAUAAGGGAAAGAACUGCCGAAUUUUUGGUAGAAUCGUUACUAAUUAAAUUAUUAUCAGUCAAGUUAGACGAUAUCAGAUAGACCCGCAUGGAGUUUGAGGCGAGUUGUUUCAAAUCAAGUCCUUUAUAAAGCUCACUCACCCCUGACCUCUUGUUAGCUCUCACUCGUUACAAGCAUCUAUCUAUCAAUAUAUCAAUCAAUGCUUACAUUUUCUUUCCUCUUAUACAUCAAAACGAAGUUCAUCUUGGCAACCUUGCUGUCGCAUUAUUGUUGUCAAUAGUAUAGAACGUUUACAAUUAUCAUCUUCUGGUUGACCAAACCUGUAGCGACGUUCCAUUCGGAGCCCGAUGUUGAAAUUAAACCAAAAUGAAAUCCUCGGCGCAGCAAUAACUGUACUGAAGGAACGCGUUAUUCAAGCUAGGGAAGACUAUUCUAAAGCGCAUGAAAUUAGUAAAGACAACUAUGAACAGAGCGUGCUCAUGGCUUCCAUACAAUAAAGUCGUAGAAGCUUGCGACAGAGCAAUUGGACCAGCUAAGGUUGGCGAUUUUGACGUCGCAAAAACGGCAGCUGACGAAGCCGACCUGAGCGUUUCUCGCGCUGACGCAUACAACACCGAGAACCCGAACCUGAAACAUGUCAAUUUGAACUUGAAAAUUGCUUCUAAAAAUACAGUGGCCAUAGCCAUCAAGGCUCUUAGUAAUCCUGGUGCUCAAAGCGAAAAUUAAAACAAGGAGAGUACAAUUACUUAAUUUAAUUGAUCAUGAUUUCAGAUUUCUUUCAUCAUCGAUCUUUGUCUUUUUUAUCUUUUUUGAUAUGCAAACCAAUUAUAUUCUUUUUUAUGAUAUUGUUGGAGAGAAUAAUAAUAAUAAUGUGUGCUCUUUGAAGCAGCUUUCUGCUUAUGUUGUAAUGAAUAAUUUUUUAAUUGGUUGAUUGAAUUAUUUGAUGCUUUUAUUUAUUUAAUUACGUGAUGAUCAUGCAUGACUAAUUAAGUGGAUUCAUAGAAUUGGAAAAAUCAAAUAAUGACAGAAACAAAAUAAUAAAUCAAAACGAUUAAUUGAUUGUCUUCAUGUGUGUUAACCAAUUAAUACAAAGAUUAAUUAUCAAUUAAUCAAUGCAUAAAUAUUUGUUGACUUAAUUUUUGUCAAUCAAUCAAAUUUUCUAAUUACAAUUGUAUCAUUUCUGCAACAACUUUCUCUCACAUUAUUAGACAGCUUUUUUUUCUUUUUUCCCUUCCCUUUUUUUUCUGUUUUGUCCUUUUGUUUGAUUGGGCGUAAUGAAACAGAUAUAACAAGGGACCAAGCAUGACCUAUAUGUAUAUCUUCAUCAACAAACAAGGAAACAAGGGAUUGAAUUUGAUGUGUCACAGCACGAUAAGUUAAAUCUUAAAUUUGGACAGACAAGACAAAUAUAGAAGCAUCUAAUCCACCAAAGAAUAGACAUGGGACUUGACAUGAAAAUAAAUACAGACACAAACAUAAACAUUUACUCCUCCAAUGAUUGUUUCAAUAUCUUUAUCCUUGAUAUUUGCUCACUUUUAUAAAAUAUAAAUCUGCUGGUAAAUUUUUUGUACCUUAAACAGUUUUCUGACUUAUGAGAAAAAAAUAUUUUAAAAAAUUAUUGCAAAGAAAAAUUAAAAAAAAAACCUGCUAAAGAGACAAAAUAAUGUCAGAAUGCUGACAAAAAUAAUGUUAAAAUUAACUCGUUUUAAUGUGUUGACAAUUGAGUGAUUACAAUGAGCCCGGCUCAAAUAUUAUAUGACUAUAUUCAACUACAUCACAUAUAAAAUUUGAUUACCUUCACUAUUAUAAGAUGUUAUUUGAUUAAUACAAAUUAAUUCAAAUCUGAUAUGUUAAGUAGAGAAUAACAAUGUUUUAGAUCAUUGUUUACAAUACAUGGAUAAACUGGGUAAUUAGUUUAAAGACCUGUAAACCAAAAAUGGAUUUAUGUAUUCAUCUUAUCUCCACAUUAUAUGUUGAUGCUUUCAUUUCCACUCGUCCUUUAGUUUCUUCUCAAUGCAAAUGCCAGGAUAGGUGGAACAACAUUUCCAAUGUGCAUUGAUCCAGUGCUGAUCACAAUCUUGUAAGAAGAUACGCACAAAUCUUAGAUCAGCCACUAAAUCCAAAUCUCAAUAGCAGAUAUCAAAAUAGCAAUAAGACUUACUUGAGAUCAAUCGCACAUUCACGAACUUUCACCGAUUGUAUCUCUAACUGUUAUUGCACGGAAAUGAGCGCCAUUUGGUAACUUGGCAUUAAGCUCAGGACCGGCAUGCAAAGACGUGCAUUGGUUCUGGCCAUUCCGGCAUUGUUUCCUCAGGUGAAGCUGCCCAUAUGAAUGCUUGUUUACGACAUGGAAACACAUCGUGUGCUGCUGCUUCCAAUGCAUCACACCUCACCUAUAAUAACAACAAUAAAUAGAUGAAUAAUCUAAUCGGAGGUGAUUGUACAUAUACCGACAAUAGGGUUUAUUUUAACUAUGACACAAUUGCACAACUAAUUCCCAUAUUAAGGCUCAAUUUAGGACUGGUUCGGCAAUUAAAAAGUGUUUCGUAAGGACUUUCAAUUAUGAUUUGGAAGUUAAAGAUAAUUUUACUCAACAAUUGUUUGAUGAAAUUGUAUUAGAUCUUGGCCAGGACUUGACCGAGUGUUUUCGAUCAGCUUUCUUUGGCUAGUCACUCAAGUUUAAGCCCUGUAAGUGGUAUGAACCUAAGAAAUUGAUUCAGGCUUUUUGCACCACCCCACAACUUACUAUUUUUUCAAAUAUAUUUACUUUAAAAAUCAGGGCAUCUUGAUAGGCACCCCUCUAUGUUAAGUUAAAUGAAUAUCGGUGGGUGAGGUUUAUAAUAAUAGACAGCAAUAACAUACCACAACUUCUUAAUGGACAUGCAAUCCAUCGGUCGUAGCAGAACUACCUGACAGCGCCUGCAGGGCACAUGCAAUUAUAUUUUGAUCAGUGUUCACGAAGCUAAAGCAGUGUAAAUAACAGAUCAUGGCUUAAUUAAUUAAUUACAUGAAGGUGAUUAAAUAAUUGAGAAUGAAAUUAUAUUAUUAAGCAAAGACAUAAGCUAUUAUAUUAUUAAGCAAAGACAUAAGCUAAAUUACCCCAUUUAUCUGUUUGAAAUCUCGUCUUGAGAGCAAAUGCCGGCACUAACGAGGCUUGCUCAAUUUCGGCCUGCAUGGCUGCAUGUCUGAUAAGAGUGGAAACAUAGUGCCUUUAGCUAAAUCGUAGAAUGUUAAAUCUGAUGCUACUGAAUAUGGUGAGUGAUUCAUAUACACGGUCUUCACGAAUAUAUAGUUGUUAAUUACAGGAGAAGUUGCAAUAUGAAGUUAAUUUGAAAUUUAUAUUUCUCACCUCGAAUAAUUUCUGGUAAAUCGCUGAUUCGAUAAGGUCAAACUUUCUUUAUGAUCAUCAUCUUCUUCUUGGUCUUCGCCUUCCGAUGUUCCUAUUUCUGAUGUUUCUCCACAUUUUCUUCCUCUUUUAAUAACUUUCGUUGAAGAUUUUGACAGAAAUAUCAUUGUGAGAAGAGUAUUUCUAAAGUUUACAACUUGGAAAUGAGACCUUAUGUGAUAUGUACAUGAAGGAUAGAGUACAUGUCAGUAGUUAUAAGAAACAAUGUGAUGGUUUUAAAGAGACUAGUGGUGGUUUUAAAGAACUAAAUAAAGUUUAUUAUUUAAUAAAAAGUCAAAUAUAAAUCCCGAAGAAUCCUCUGUAUAAUCUGACAGGAUCUAGAAAACGGAGGCACAUGCAUGGCAAUAUCAUUACUUUGUAAGACUGGAUUAUUUUUAUAAAUUUUUAUCCAAAGAAACUAAAUAAAGUUUAUUAUUUAAUAAAAAGUCAAAUACAAAUCCCAAAGAAUCCGUUGUAUAAUAUGACAGGAUCUAGAAAACCGAAGCACAUGCAUGGCAAUAUCAUUACUUUGUAUGACUGGAUUAUUUUUAUAAAUUUUUAUCCAAAGAAACUAAAUAAAGUUUAUUAUUUAAUAAAAAGUCAAAUACAAAUCCCGAAGAACCCGCUGUAUAAUCUGACAGAAUCUGAAAAACGGAGGCACAUGUAUGGCAAUAUCAUUACUUUGUAUGACUGGAUUAUUUUUACAAUUUUUUAUCCAAAGAAACUAAAUAAAAUUUAUUAUUUAAUAAAAAGUCAAAUACAAAUCUCGAAGAAUCCGCUGUAUAAUCUGACAAAAUCUGGAAAACAGAGGCACAUGUAUGGCAAUAUCAUUAUUUUGUAUGACUGGAUUAUUUUUACAAAGUUUUAUCCAAUCCCUUGUUUGAUGCCAGUAAAUCAAUAUUUAAAUAUAUAGUUAUUUUGUUAUGUUAUUUGAUUUUAGCUAUUAAUGUCAAUAUUGGAAUAUAUCUUUAUAUUGAACUAAUAAAACAACUGUAUAAAGACAUUUGAAAAAACUUAAUUACGAAUUUUGAAUUCAUGAUGUAAGAUAGCGUUUGAUUUUUAAUCUGAAAUCUGAGUGGGGUCUGAACUUGGCUGAAAUAUGAAUAUCUUUAAAUUGCAUAUGUUUAAAUGAUAUAUUUAUUUUCUCUUUUUCGAUAUCCAAAUAUAAGUGGCAUCUAUUUUUUUUUUAUAAAUCAAAAACAUCCAAAGUAUGAUUACUUAACAUUUAUGUUUUUGUAAGAAUUAUUUAUACUUAUUAUAAAUUUUAAGAGUUAAAUACGUGCACAUUACAAUUAAAAUCAAACAUAUGUAGAGUUGAGUAAUUGAUCUUUAAAUAAAAAUAUUAUUACAUUACUCCAAAUACAAAAUUGAUUCAAACUUAUUAUACUAAUUAAAAUGUGAAUAAAUUUAAAUUUAAAUUUAUAAUUUACAUCAUCUUUUUUACCAUUUAAAAUUGUAAAAUCCCAUUCGCCCAAACCUAGUCUUAAUUAGGUGUACAUAAGUGUAAAGGCCCAUAUGUUCUUAAGAAGUAUUAAGUUUUCAUAGACCCAUAAGUGAAUGGAGAAGUGUAAUGCGAAUGCCCCAAAUUCAAGCCAGAGUUAUAACUGUUGGCAGACCUGUAUAAUCCUUUUAAAACAGUUCUCUAAUUAUAUUAAAAGACGAAAUAAAUCUAAUUAAAUUCUUAUAUUUCUCUCUCUCUCUAUAAGUUUCUUUUUCUAAUUCAUUACUCCCACACAACUACACCAAAGUCUUUUAUAUUUUUUUAUUUUCUCUCAAACACUUUGUAUAUUACAUAAUAACUAUUUAAGUCCAUUUUUAGUUCUACUCAAUUCAAAUAUAUAGAAUUUUCUUUUUAAUUAAAUAUAUAUGAUUUAAACUUUCAAAAUUUUGUAAAAACAAUAUCCCUAAUAUGAGGUUUGUGGAAGAAGUUAAAUAUUUUUUUAAUAAAAAAGAAACUGAAAUUUUAAAAAAGAGUUUUUGAAAACUUAAAAUAGGUUUUGAGAAAGGGGGGGGGGGGUUUGAGAAAAAAAAAUUAUAAGGUGCUAUUAGUUCCACUCUUCAAGCAAAGAUACACAGACCUUUACUCUUCAAAAUAAAUUUUGCGGUGAAUUUUAUUGUUGGCUAAUCACAUUGAUAUGAGUGUGAAUAUGAAAAGGAUAAAACUUAUAAUAAAGAAUUAUAUGAACUAUAUUUUAAAGAGAAAAUAUAUUUUUAAAACUAUGAAAAUUUUCUUACAAAUAUGAGCUAGGGAGAUAAAUUGAAGAGGUUACAUAUCAUCAAUCUAGUUACUUCAGAAAAUGUGGCCCAAUGUCUUCAGAUGGGUUAGUGUUGGUGUGUUACUAAGAAAUAGGCCGAAGUUGUAAAAAUAAAAAAUAAAAACAGUAGGUUUUCAAAUUAACAAAGAACAGUUAUUUCACAGAACACAUGAAUAUCUCUAUGAUGUUAAUGCUUUCAUUUCUACAGCUUCCUUUAGUUUUCUCCCCAGUGCAAACGCCAGAGGAGGUGGAACAGCAUUUCCAAUCUGCCGAUGCUUGUGUUGGAUGUCACCAACAAAUUUAUAGCUAUCGGAGAAACCCUGCGGGAAUCAAGAGAGCAGGGUAACAUGACAGCAGAAACAGUUGGCAAAAUUUAUCUUGUUUGAUUCAAUAAUUAGCUUGUCAAGUUAGAAGUGUCACCGGUGCUGCAUGAAAAAUUAUUUUUGGUCAUUCUGCUUUUUCAUCAUUCCAACUAACUGCAGAUAUUUACAUAUAUAGCCAAAAAGACUUACUUGUGAUCGAGCACACUCACGAACUGUGAUUAUUCUAUCCUGAUCUGGGUGAAAACAGGUUCCGACCAUACCCAUCGGAUGAGGAUCGGUAACGGAGGUUGGAAAAUUUCCUUCCCAGUCCAACCUUCCGAACAGACCCUUCCAUUGAUUAUGCUUUUCAGCUGUAUUGGGUAAGCACCAGGGUAUUAAAUCUACAACCUGUCCGUUAGACAAUCGAACCUGGAGGGGGAAUUUGAAAAGGAAAAUGUUUAAAACCAAAGCAAUUAUGAAAUGAUAACUUCAGUUAGAUCUAAAAGAAAAAACUAUACACCUUCUCACUAGGAAGAACACGCCAAUCGGAACCAGGCUGUUUUGGGAUCUUUUGACACCUAAUAAGGUUCAGCUCACUCAUUGCCUUUGAUAUAUGAUCAUUUAAGACCAGCAUAUCUGCUCUGAUUUUCUUUUGAAACCAUGACACAGGUUCACUUUUAUACUGCACGGUAGGAAAAUACAAGAAACAAGACCUUUGGUAGAAGGAACAACAAUAAAGAUAAAAUGAGCAUCACAGACAGGUGAAGAAAACCCCACUUCCAUGGUUGUUACAGAAGCCCCAUUGCCAACAGCUGGGAGGUCUCCAAUUGUAUCUCUAACUGUUAUUGCACGAAAAGGAGCACCAUUUGCAGUGCUUCGAACAGCAGCAUAAUGGGAAUUUCUUGCUAACUUGACCUUAAGCUCAGGGCCAGUGAACACAUGCAUUGGCUCAGGCCAUUCUGGGAGGGUUUCCUCAGGUGAUGCUGCCCAUAUGAAUGCACGUUUACGAGACUGAGACAUGCCAUAUGCUCCUGCUUGCAGGACACCAAAUCUCACCUACAACAACAAAAUUAGAUGAAUAAUUUAUAUAAGCUACAUGAUACUUUCACAAUUUUCAGAUUAAAUUGACUAAUGAAAUGGAGAAACAAAUUCAGGGAAUUUUGAUAGGUAUCCCUCCAUAAAGCUAUGAGUGAGUAAAUCAAAGAUGGUAUCUACCUGAUAACCCAUCUGGAGGAGAGAAGCCAGAGUUAGGCGAAAUGUUUGCCCUUUGUUAAAUGAUGUAAAGUUCCUUACAUUCUCCAGAAGGAAAAAUCUGGGGCGGAAAUAAUCAGCAAAAGACAACAAUGCUAAGAUCAUUUCACAUUGAACUUUGCUCCAAGAGCCUUGAUUAAACCUAUUCAUUCCAGAAAAUCCCUGGAAAUAACAAAGAACCAAUAGCUAAACUUAAUAAGUCUUUUGUACACAUUUAUUGUUAGAAUUGCUUACAAAAUAAAUCCUAGAAGUAGACUGGAGGAUUGAUCGAUGUACCUGACAAGGAGGCCCUCCACUGAUGAAAUCCACUUGUCCUGGCCGAGGCAAACUCUUAAUUGUCUCUUCAUCAAGUUCUGCUGCUAGCUCAGAAGCUUCAGGAGUUGAAAUACAGUCGUCAGCAUCCCCACAUGCUGACAUGAUAGCCCUGCAUUUGAUUCAUUGAUUUACUGAAGAUAUAAGAGUUGAUUAAAAAGCAGUUAUCACCGAAUCGAACAUAAAGCCAUGAGUUAUUAUACUUAAAUGAAAGCAAACAUCAACCUCAGGAUCACAUUGCAGUUGUUAAUAAACACCAAAGCUUCUGGAUGAUUAACCUUGAAUGCUUCUCCUGCUGGUUGCUCAUACUCUAUUGCCCAGUUGGUUAUCGACACACCUUUAGUUGGAUAUUUGUCAGUCAAAAUAGAACUAAAUCAGUUUACUUGCUCACGGAACUUUGAAAGUUACCUGCUUGCUGUAGGCCAUCAGAUAAGCCACCACAACCUGCGAAAAUAUCUAAGGUGGCUAAACGAUUCUUAUGGACAGCAUCCGUCUGUUUGUCAACAGCACCAUCAUGCUUUUCCUCUUUACAUUUCCCAUUUAUCUUUCUAUAAGCAGUAUCAUCAGCCACCCUCUCUUUUAGCACACUAGUCUUGAUGUGAGGCGGCAACUGGCCAUUAUGCAGUCAUUGCAGUCAGCAUAAGAAGAAACCACAGUUUAAUAAACAUAAUUCACAUGAAUCUAGUUAAGGAAAUGAAUUAAAGGGAAAAUGAGUAAAUAUAAACUACCUGCUUGAUGGUUCCUUUAUCAGGAUCGUAUAAAUGCUCGCAGAAGAAAAUAUGCUCAAAGAUUGUGGGGCUAUCCAAAGGGGCAAGAUCAUGCUUCUUUCUAAUGUCACAUUUGCCUUCUACUCCAGUAACAGGAACUGUCAAUACUAGUUUACUGUAAUAAACCUAAAGAUUCAAUAGCAAAGAAACUGUGUAUAAGAUCCAUGAUAACAUAAUAACACCAAAAAGUCAAAUAGAAACUUUGUAUCACAGAAUAUAUAAGACAAAAGAACACGUAAUCAAAAGUAAUAAAAAAAAGGGAAAGAAAGAAAAUAUAAGACAAAAGCACACAUAAACUCUAAAAGAUUUUACUCCAUUCAAUAAAAAAGAAAUGUUUAGAUCGGUUCCUAGAACAUACUUACUUCUCUAAUGUCAGCGUAGUAUGCUUUCUCCUCUGAUAUGUCCUCGGGUCUGAAAAAUCUCCGAACUUUAACCUUAGUGGAUCCAGGGCAAGCUUUUGUGGAAGUCUCUGGUACUUCAAUACCUAGCAACUGACAAACAACAUAUGCUUUCAUCCCUUCGUUUCUAAAUGUAUCUCGGUUCCUAUCUUUAUCAGAAAAAUGAUGAUGAGCUACGUAGACAUAAUCAUGAACAUGGUACUCUGUUCCUUUGAGAGUGAAACCAUUUCUGUUCAAAUUUACCUUGAAAACGUCCUUCUCCCUCUCGGUUUCCUUUAUUUUACAAGAAUGGCAAACUCCUGUUCCAAGUCCCAUGGUAUCUUUUGGAAGCUUAAAGAAAGCACCUCUCUCAGGCCAGUACAAGCUUUUGCAAUAAUAUUCCAUGGGGAAUUGAUCAAUUCUUAGAUCCUCUGCUCUUUCACGAACAAUCUUGUCCUUGCAAGCAUUAGUCUUCCGAUGUUGAUGCCCCCAAGGAAUCAAUAAGAUUUCAACUGCCACAACUUCUUUAACAUCUUCCAGUUCAAUUUCCAGGCAAUCGUUCGUCAAAAAAACCUCAUUAGCAUCUGCAGUAUUACCAAGAAACGUUUCAGAGCCUCUUAGCAUGUGUCUGCCAUGAACCAUCUUUCUUGAAUCUGACUUUUCAAACAUAAACUCUACAAAAUAUAUUGAAGGCAAAUGAUCUGAAUCUGCAGUUUCAACCAGCACGCAACCACCAACAUUAAUCACAUUGCCACAAACAAUGGCCCGUUUGUAAAGAGACUCACUGAAACAUGCUUUUCUUAUUAACUCCCCAUCCCAUUUGGUAACCUUCGAAGAGCAAGGCGGCUUAACACUUUUCGCAGAUAAACAAAAUUUCUCCAUAUUCUCAUCAACUUGCAUCUGUUCCACUUUAAUGUCUUCAGGAUCUUCCACACUAUUUUCUCCAUGUUCUUCAUCGAGUUCUUCAUCCACUUUCACUUCACGGAUAUAUGCCUCCUUUGAAUCUUCAGGCAAAUAAUUUGAGUAAAACUCUUCCCAAAUUCUCUUUAUCAAUCUCGUGGUUGUUGCUUGCAUUACCUUGUUUUUUGAUGCUCUCAGAUUUGAAUUUAUUUCCUUCUUCAGCACCACCUUUUUCUUCACCAAAGACCUGGUGUGGCGUCUUUCCUCCAUUUUUUCAAAAAGACCAGACACAAAUGCACACUUGCUGAUCCUUUUAUUAGGAAGCUCCGCAAAUUGUUGGAGUAUGAUAUGUCCAUGAACCACCACAUACCUUUCAACUUCUGUGGGAUUGGAAGAAAUAUAAGCAGGAUUAGUCUUACUGAACUUGGACACUUUUUUUAUUACAUCUGCAAACGAGAGUCGAGAUGCUCGGCUCUGAUUGUUCAACAUUGUAAUGAGGGCAAUAGCAAGCCUCGCAGUUUUUAGAACUGGUUUAAACCACGCUGCAUACUGCUUUGAUGGCCUUCCAAGCCUAUACCUGAAAACAAAAUCGCAAAUUUGAUAAGAACUAACACUGCCAGAAGAUAAAGAGUACAAAAAGGCAAGCUUAAGCACUAGUACCACCACCAAACCUCUUGAUAUUAUAUGGAUAUAGAUGCAUACCAGGAAAUAUCUGUCCGAACUGAUAUGGAAACGAACGAGUAUCCAAAUUCGAUCAUCCAUUCCUGUAUUGCACUCAAAUAUACUGGUAUUCCCCCAACAUUCUCUGCCACAGAUGAAGACUGAUCAAAAUUAGCAUCAACACAUAUUCCACUUGAAUCACCAGUUGUCAUAAUGCCGGACCCAAAAAUGGUAAUAUCAUUAUCAUCACAUGGUUUCAUUGGGAGGAGCUCCAAAGAAAUCAACCGCGAAUCUGAGUUGUAAAGUGACCAAUUGUGAAGCAUUCUUCGAGGAAACUCAUCAGGAUUAAUUGCAUCAAAGAUUAAAU
rnacentral:lncRNA from 1 species